rnacentral:lncRNA from 1 species
AGGAAACAGCAUAAUAACAUCAUAAAUCCGGCCAUCUUCAAGCCGAUGGCCAUCAGAAGCAGCCUCCUAUGUUCAAGCUUCCGCUCAUGAUCACCGGCACGCCGCGCUCCGCGCACAGGCACUUGAGCUUCCACUCCGGUAUCACCUCGCUCUCGCCCCGACCGCUCCUCUGCCACCGGCUCGACGACGCGCUCCUCGAACUCUCCUUCCCGCGCUCACGUUCCUGCUGCUGCUGCUGCUGACCUCUUCCCGCCGCUCUAUCCUCGGCCACCUCCUGUGCCACAAAAUCCAUCUCUCAACCACGGGAGCACUCUCCUGAGACAGAUCUAUCCAGUACUAGGGAGACGGGAGGUUGCCGUGGUGCCUUUAAGAUAAGCUCCCACGAAGCAUCUGGUAGGGUAAGUUAAUGCGGUGGGACCAACACUUGUUAUUUUGUACAACCGAGUUGCGGUAGAAAAUGACACGAGGCGCUGGCUGUCGGCAUGGAAGCAUAGAAAACGUCAGGUUGUCGGUUCCUGUGGAUAGAGAUAAGAAGCGGCAGGUACGGCGUAUGUGUGCAUUAAUGUUGUAUUUAUCCUUUGUUUUUUUUCUUAUCUAUGCGAAUAAAGUCAAGUAGAUCAAUCAUAUAAAUUCUCUUUGACGACGGUGUUCUUCGAAAAAAUUAUAACACACCCCAAAUAUUUUUUCAAAAAUACAUAAAUUUAUGGAUGAUUUCUCAAAUAGAAUUUUUACUUUACCAAUUUUUUUUCGAAGCAUCUGUCCAGCUAGUCACUCUCUUCUUCCUGAAUAAUCGUUCUUACGUAGUCCUCUGGCAUGAGGAUAACUUAUCGCAAUGUCGUUCGUAGAUCUGUCUCUUCCACUUGCCCAUAACUUACGUCAUUGAUCUUAGGAGAGAAAGAAAGAGGGUGCAUCAUCAAUCGUAAGUAAGGAUAAAGAGAAGAGGAUUGUGCACCCUCAUUGUUAGACGCUGGGGAUGAAAGAGAGGCGCACGCCUUCAUUGUUGCUACCUCAUGCGAGGGUUGCAGGCAAAACGUGCAAUGGCUUGAUUGGUGGAGUCAACAGAGGCGGUUUUGUUGGUUAUGGGUGAUGGUGAAUCUGACAAAAGAAUGAGCAAAGUGAUAUUUUCACAUUGUUAGGAGUGUUGUUUCAUAAUUUUUUAAAAUAGAGAUGCUAAGCAAAAAAUUAAAAAAAAUAAAAAGUUUUUUCAAUAAUUCAUCUUAAAUUUAUAAUUAUUAAUUUAAAUAUUUUAUAACUUAUUAUGAUGUGAUAAAUGAUUAUUAUUAGACAUGAUAAGAAAAUCAAUAGCAUAUCACAAUGACGAUAUUAUCGAAGUUUAGUUGAAUCAUUUUGGACUAGUGGUAUAUACUCUAAAUAAAUUGUCUUAUGUUUCGAUAGAAAAAUAUAAUAUUAUCACGAAGAAUAUUCAUCUUUAAGUACAGAAAAUGAUAAAAAAAAAAUCUUAUUGACAAAUGCAUCACAUAAAGAGAAUUAGAAAAAAAAAUAUUUUGAAUAAUUCAUAUUAUAAGAAAUAUUUCAUUGACCACAAAUGGUUAGGUAAAGAUCUAACUAUAAAAUAUAAAUAUAAACAUGAUUAUCAAGGUCGAGUAGUCUCUUUAUCGAAACCAAUAUCGGGAAGUGAUCACAUCCGAAAAAACAUUAAUCUUCGUGCAUAAGAGAGCUUAUGAAUCCUCAAAAAAAUAUUUUUAAUUAAUAAUCAAAAUGUAAUUAAUAAUCAAAAUUUAGGUAAAGAGCUUAUUAAUCACUCAAAAAAGUUUACAAGCUCAGGGUAAAAAAAAUGUUUUUAAUUAAUAAUCAAAAUUUGAUUACUUUCAAGGGGUAAUUAUUGAGAUUUUAGAAUUGUGACGGUAUAAAUGUGAAGAAAACCCAAACUGAAAAAUAAUAGCUUGUUUUUGUUACAACAAAUACAUGAUCAUAAGAUUGUUUUUGUUAUUCGAUAUACGAAAGUACUACUAGACUUUCAGGUCGUACAUAUAAGCUCAUAACUAUUUGACUGCCAAAACUCUCUUUUUGAGAAACAAAUUUUGAUUCUUCAGAUUCUACUCGGCCACUUUCUAAUUCUUCUUUCAAAAGCUUUUCUCGAGCAUUCGUCCUCCCAUCUCAAGAGAUUUUUGAGUUGAGUGUCGUAGGGGGAUUUCGUCACACAAUCUUCUUUGGAGCAUCUUUAAUCUAUGUGAUAGUUAAUAACACCUUUAUUUUUGCACAUCGAUUACCUUAACUUAGUGAAAAGAUUAUAUUAUAUAUAUAUAUAUAUAUAUAUAUAUAUAGUCUAAUACCUAGAAUACCUCUAGUCAUUUAUCUUUUUUUUCUUUCUUUUCUUAUGGAUAGAUCUAUAAGAUAAAUCAGUCUAGUUAUAAUAUUUUUAUAUUUUCAUGGUAUUACUAGAAAUAUUAUAAUAUUAUAUAAAAUACUAAAAUAUAGCGUAAAAAUAUUAUAAUUAAGACAAUUUAUCUUAUGUAUUGCCCUAUAAGAAAAGAGGUAAAGAAAAAAAAAGUUUGGUAGUUGGUUACCAAAUUAAGGGUAUGCCAAGUAUAAGAAAGAAAAAAUCUAUUAGCAACCCUUUUUUAGUAUGGAGAUUUAUAUUGACAACUCUUUUGUUUUGUCUUAUUCUCUUUCGAGUGAUGAGUGAUGGAUGAUAUAUCAUAUCAAAAUGAUAAGUAGUGUCGAGGGGAGAUGGAGGAGAUUUAUAAUUGAGGAUUAUUGAUAAUUAAAAUAUUAUAAAUAAAUAAAAAAUUUAUUAUUAUUUAUUUAUGGGUUGUCAAUAACAAGGAGGUUAUCGAUAGCAAAAAAAAAAAAAAAGGGUUGCCAAUAGCAAGAUUCUUUUGCUAUUCACAUCUCAUUUUUUAAAUUAUUAAUAUUCUUAAUAUAUCUCUCUACAAAUAGAUGUAAACAUUUUUAUUAUUUUUCCUCUUUUCUCCUAAUCACGACAUCUACAACAUCAAAUGAUAUCGAACAAACGCAAAUGCUCUGAUCAUCUUUUCAUUAUUAUUAUUAUUAUUCUUUUAAUCAUGAGCCAUGUUGAGAGGGCAUCAUCACGAUCAGCGAGCUAUGAGCAAUAAGUGGUAUUAAGGUUUGUGAAAAACAAAAGAAUCAAAUUGGUAAUUGAGAUAGUGUAAAUAAUAAAAUUAUACUUAAUUUUUUUUUAAGGGAUUACCAACAGUAAAAUGAAAUACAGUUAAAAAAUUCUAUAAAUAAAAAAAUACUUGUCAAAAAUGUCAAAGAGUGAAGGGUUUUUUUUUUUUUUUUGUGGGGAAAGAUUCGACCUAAAAUAUAUAUGUAAAUUAAUGAAAUAUAUUCGACAUUAAAGAGAAGAGCAUUGAAUCGUCUGCUCUUUCCCGUUUUCCGUGGAAUCACUAUCUUUACCGUCCCCCGCGUUGGAUCUUUCUGGCUCACGACACCGAAUCCAGCCGCAGGAUGAUGAUCCCUCCAUGACGCGUCCACACCAGCUGUCAAAUCUUGUCUGAUUCCCUCGAUGACGCGCCCCAUCGCUCGCCAUGUUCUCUCUUCCCAUCUCCGCGGCCCAAUGACCUUUGUCUGCCCAGCUGCGAUGCCUUACAUCCCUCCAUCGAAGUCAGUGUCCAGGCAAUGAUCCGCCGACACUUUCUCACUGACUCGUAAAACCCGCCCUCCUCUCUCACCACCUCCCUCUUUGCCCCCCCACCAUGGCGCGUAGGAACACUCCCUCGCUCGUUUCUCCUGCCGGAAGCCGGCAGGUAUCCCCAUUGCCGUUCUUGUUCUUUGCCCUGCUGUUCUUCGCCUGUUCCGGCCCCGCCAGCGAAGCCAGAUGCGUGUUCCCGGCGAUCUUCAACUUCGGGGACUCCAACUCCGACACCGGCGGCUUCUGGGCGGCGUUCCCGGCGCAGACCGGCCCCUUCGGCAUGACCUACUUUAAAAGACCGUCCGGCCGCGCUUCCGACGGCAGGCUCUUCAUCGAUUUCUUAGGUACUGACCAUGCUUCGAUGGUUUCUCUUUCUUGCUUGGUGGUGAAAGAUGGCUCUGCUUCUUGGAAAUGCGCAGCUCAGGCACUCGGAUUGCCGUUCCUCAGCCCCUACCUGCAGUCCAUCGGCUCGGACUUCCGGCACGGCGCCAACUUCGCGACGUUGGCCUCGACGGUACGGCUGCCCAACACCUCCCUCUUCGUCACCGGAAUCAGCCCGUUCUCCUUGGGGAUUCAGCUCAACCAAAUGAAAGAUCUCAGAACCAGAGUUCUUGCGCUGAAGGGAACUGGUAAAAUGCCACUCAUUCUACAUGUGUGUUUCAUGGUUUCUUUAGUCGUCGAAUGAUGCAGACAGAGGAGCAAAUAUUUUAGCCUGUUGGUGAACAUGAAAACGAUUUACAGUACUGAAUGAUCUAAAAUUAACCAUGCCAUGGAAAGCUUCUAAGAUCGAUCAUGUUCAUGAUUCAGAACAUCUUCCUCCUGGCAAUGUCUUCGGUCAAUCACUCUACACCUUCGACAUCGGCCAGAACGACUUCACCUCCGAACUGGGAUCUCUCGGCAUCGGAGCAGUCAAGCAGUAUCUUCCUCAGGUCGCAUCUCAGAUUGCCUGGACCAUAAAGGUGAAACAGGAAGCUGCUGUCAUCUGUGUUCCGCAGGAAGCGGAUUCACUCGCCAUUUCUGUGUUAUGCAGGAGAUCCAUGACAUCGGAGGGCGGACGUUCAUGGUGUUCAACCUCGCCCCCGUUGGAUGUUACCCAGCUUUUCUGACAGAGCUUCCUCAUAACACUUCGGAUUUAGACUCAUACGGCUGCAUGAUUUCCUACAACAAUGCCGUCGUCGACUACAACAAUCUGUUGAAUGACACUCUCCAACACAUGAGAGACAUGCUUCCGGGUGCCACCAUCAUAUAUGUAGAUACUCACUCUGUCAAGCUCGAGCUCUUUCGACAUCCCAAAAACCACGGUAAUAACCUCUCCGGAAACAUUAUUGGCCUCGACUCGAUCAUAAUUCUCCGAGCAACAUGACGAUUAGCAGACUUCCGUCGUUCCCACACCCUUCAAUACCGUGCAAACAGGAACAUAGUCCACCAUUGACUUUGGCUUGGGAAGAACUCGAACAUCUAAACUCGAACAUCGCGUGAAUCUAAGUUUUGCCUUCUCCAUGCAAAUUUAUUGGCACUAUCCUUCGUUCAUCAUUCCCGAUCAUGACCUAACUAGUGACAAAUACAGGACUCAUCCACGGAACCAAAGCUUGCUGCGGACAUGGAGGUGGUGCUUAUAACUUCGACCCACAGGUUUUCUGUGGAAACAGCAAGGUGAUAAAUGGCAUCAAGGUGACUGCAACUGCUUGUGGAGAUCCACAAAACUACGUGAGCUGGGAUGGGAUUCAUGGCACAGAAGCUGCAAACAAACGAGUAACCGGGGCUGUACUCGGAGGUUCCAUCUUUCAUCCUCCCUUCCCUCUUUCCAAGCUUUGUGAUCUCCAGCCAAUAGGUUAAGCAGCAAUUAGCUUUUGUGUUUAAGAAGGUGCAAACAAGAAAUCAGAGCUUAUCAGGUCUAAGAGUGACGAUAAGUUACUUAGUUUUUAUAGUGGUAUACAGUGUCUUCUUUGAAGUGGUAUGAGCUUGAAGGUGACUCUACAAUAAAUGAUAUGAGCAUAAAUUUAAAGAAGAUGAUGGCUGAUGAUAAAGUACAAAGUUUAAUUGAACAUACAUACCCUAUGAAUGAUUUGAUUGUUUCUUUUACAAUUUAGAACUUAAUCGUUUCCUUCCAAUCUUUAAUGGAGAUGACGAGUGCAUGGUGUCUUCACUGUCACUCUCACUGACUGCCAUUUUUUUGUUAUAAGCUAUCGAAUUAUGGAGGCCCAAUUAAGGUAUUCGUUCCUCAUUUGUGUUUAAGCCUACCUCCUACUAAAGUUCAAGCUUUUCUCUGGUACACUCACUCUUAUACAAGGUAGAGAUUGUGAUAUCUUGAUCUAGUUGACAUUGAAAGUAGAUUAAGUUAAUGAAUUAAUUAUCUCAAUAAAAAAUUAUGAUAAUUGAUAUCAAAACCAUCGGUAGGAAAAGAAUCAUUGGAUAUGUCAUAGCAUUGAAUUAUUAUUGGACUUUACCUCAUAUAUAUAUAUAUAUAUAUAUAUAUAUAUAUAUCAAAUAAUUUAAACUUACGAAAUCGACGAUUUUGAUUUUCCCAACCUAUGAAUCAAAAGUGAAUUAUUUGGAUGUCCCAAUCAAAAUCUGUCUCAGUGGCCAUCUUAAGAAGAUUGGGUGAGGUUGACAUGACACUUCGAAUCGGAACAAAAGGCCCCUCCCCUAUCACUGUUGGAUGAGCGAGAGUGGUGUCUUUGGGACCUCAUGUUUUCUUUCGACCGGACUACGCCUCGCCUUAGUGAGAUGUUACCAUCACAAUGUCCAAAUUUUCUACUCGAUGUGAUGUACGCCAACUUACACUUGCAAGUCAACAGACAAAGUUACGCUUCACAUGUAUCGUUUGGAGUUAUAAAAGGAUUUAAAUUAUUUUACAAAUGUUCGUGUACAAAAAGGAAACACCAAAUAUCAAGAUUUGAUUUUGGCUUGUGAUGCUAGCUCGUGAAGUCAACGCAAAGUUGGGGAUUCAUAUUGUUGAGAAGAAAUCUUCUAGCAACAACAAUAAUAAUAAAAUUAUAAGUAUUAAUUAUUUAGAAUUGAUUAUAUGCGUCUUUUGUUGUCGUUGAUAUUUCUAAAAAUUUAUAUGUUUAGUUAAGUUUAAAGUGCUCGAGUCCUUAUUUAUAGUAUCUAUUAAGUCUUUUAUGUUUUUUUCAAUCUUUUCUCGUAUCACUAAUAUUAAUUAUUUUACCUCUUAUGAUUAUCUCAUCCGGAGAUCCCUUCAAUAAAUGCUCAUAUUAUCUUAAAUAAUUUUUUUUCUUUUUAUCUUUACUCGAAACGAUACUUAGUUGUUCACAAAUAAAAGUAUUUCUUUUUCUAUUUCUAGUAACUUUAUGCAUCCAUCUAAUAUUUUGAUCUUAAUAACAUAAUUUUUUAAUAUAUUUUUUCUUAACUAUCCAAUAUUUAAAUUCAUAAAUUAUUAUUGGUCUCAUAACUGUAUUAUAAAUUUUUUUUUCUGUAAUCUUAAAAGUAUUCGAUGAUCACACAAGAUUUCUGAUGUCUAUCACCAUAUUAACCAUUUAGUUUUUACUCCAUGAAUAAUAUCUUCAUCGAUCUUUUCAUCUCGUUGAAUAACAGAUUCCGGAUACUUAAAACUUUUAUUUAAAGAAGCUUUUAAUCAUUCUGAUUUAAUUAUAUUCUAUUGUUUAUUUCUAUAAUCACUAAGAUUAAAUUAUAUAUAUUCAAUUUUAAUCAUACUUAAUCUAAACAAAUUUCUACUAGAACUAAUAUAAUAAAAAAAUAAAUUUUCUACUCGAACUAGACAAGAAUUAUCAAACCACGUAAAAUUUGAAGAUUAUUGCUUAACUUUGUGUUUGAUUAUUCUUGAUUUCUAGAUUUUUUCAAUACAAUUAUGUUUUUAUUAUUGAAACUUAGAAUAAGUAUUUUUUAUCAUCUCGAAUAGGCUAUAUUUUCGAAAUGGAUGAAAUGACACAUUAACGUCUGAUCGAGUGAUUGGUUUGACAAUAAUUUACAGAAACUAAUUAUCUAUUAGAUAACAAACAAGACAAUACGACUAAAGUAGUGAAACUUAUGCCAUGCAAACUUUUGACGUAGCUCGCUAUAAAAAGAAAGAAUGCAAUAGGCACUCGACUCAAAUUCUAGAGAGAGAGAGAGAUAAAAGUGACUUUCUUUUUACCAUGUCAUAAACAGACAUAAAAAGAAUCUCUAUUUUAUUUUUUUUUUGCAAAAAAGUUUGAUUUGUGGUUACACUAGAGUGAGUCAAAAUGGUACUAUUAACAUCAUUUGAAUCAUGCAAAAGGAUGGAGGUCGAGAAAGCUAAUUGUAAGUGAUUAGGAUAGUUAGGACAAUUAUUGGAGUGGCACAAUUGUUUGUCGAGGUGAGAUCAACGUGGCAUAGUUGUUUCUUCGGUGGCGGUGGCGCAACUACCUACCUAUGUAAUAAUUGAGGUGAUGAAUAGUUACCCUCUUAAAAGACAAUUAUGUUAUAUAGGGAGACAGCAUAGCUAUCUCCCUAUAUAACAUAACUUCCUAUUGAGGUAGUGUGACUUCUCCUAAGAGUAGAAAACCAUCUCCCUAUAUAAUCUAUAAUGUCCUAUUUAGAUCUCUACUUAAACCAAAGCUUUGUCACCUUCGAUUAGGUUGAAAUCAGUGCUUUACGGAAAAAUUGCUGAGCAACUCAAAGCUUUUAGUCCUUCUGAUUUGAUAAUCUCAUCUACAACUCAAGCUUUCAAAAUCUUCCAUGCUCAUGAAUCAUUCAACAAUGUCAUGCAAUGAUUAAAUGAUUACCACUGGCUAACAUUUCAUAUCUAUCUUUUUUUAAGAUUAUUAUUUUAAAUUAUAUUAAAUGACUUUUCAUGCAUGCACUUAAAUUUCUCACUUAUACAAUAAUACACUAAUAAAUUGGAUGUCUCGAUACAUCUAAGUAUGCAUAUAACAAACAGUCCCUAUCCUAAAGUUUGUGGGUUUUGAUGCAAUAUUCUACCUCCAUAGGAGACAUGAAGCACUAGAUAUACUAAUGAUUAGCAUGAGUCACACAAUAGGGGACAUGAAGCACUACAAGGUCCUUUAUAUAUAUAUAUAUAUAUAUAUAUAUAUAUAUAUAUAUAUAUAUAUAAAAUGGAGCCUCGCAUGCAAAUGAUAAGACUUUGAUCCACUAAACGAGAUGACAACUAAAAUCUCGUGAUCCAAAAUGGCAACUUUGAUUCAAUAGAAUUUGUCAAUGUGGCUAAGUAAUCGAUGCAUCCACUCUUACUCGAAUGGUGGGACCAUCAAAUCCUUCACAUUCAAUAAUUUCGAAUGUCACAAUCUCCACCACAUUAUUUUAAGACACACACGUAACAUUACAACAUUAGCCAAAACAUUUUAAUCGUAUUCUUCAUGCGUGGUGAGAAGUGUGGGGUUGUAAAGGCAUCCAAGAAAAUACUUCAAUUGCGAUUAAAUUAACCAUAGGAACUUUUCAAACAGUUAUAUUAUGAAUAUAACGCAAUUGGAUCCGUAUAGAAUAAUACAUCACAAUCAAGAUUCGUUUUCAUGACAAUUCAAUCCACCACUAACGUAGGAUCUAUGCAUGUAUUAAUAAUACAUACAUAUGGCCUCGAUUUCAUCAAUCAAUGCCGGGAAGAGAACAAUCUUUCAAUCGAUUUCUUUCACGUCCAAAUCAUCCAACACGCAAUUGUCAUCGCCGCUAAUUAUUUUAUUUUAUUUUUUAUUAUUAAAAAAAACAAAUGUUUUUGGUGGAAGAGAAUACAUAAAUAUCAUAUUUUAAUUUAUUUUGAACUUCUAAACCUUACAAAUGCUUUUUCUAUCAAGUGAAAAGGUAAUUAACUAGAGAUUAUAAAAUGAAAACCAAAUGAAUAGAUUAGGAAGCUACCGUUAGAGUCGGCACCAAGAGGGGGGGUGAAUUAGUGCAGCGGUCAAAUAUCGUCGGUUUAAAAACUUCGUUGCGAUAAAACUGUUUCCGACGUAAACCGAUUUCGGAAGCUUAAUAACUUGGAAGCGUAUGAAAGCGUAGUGACUAAGUAAAGUAGUUUGCUGUAUGUAAAUGACAAGAAUAAAAUACAAACCAGUGGUUCGGUCUACGUGACCUACAUCUACUUUCGGCGAACUCCUCCGAUGAGAUCACCGACGUCCACUAGAUGCCUUCCUUCAAUAGGCGAAGGCCAAUCACCUUAUACACCCCUCUUCUCCUUUUACCGGGUUUAGGAGACAACCCUUAGAAGCACUCACUCACUUCUCUCUCAAACUAGUCAACACUUAAAAGAGGGAGAGGAGAUCACACAAGAUUUUAGCAGCGUUUCUUUCUUUUUAAACUCAGCGUUUCUUUCUUUUUAAACUCUUUGUGCCACGAUGGUGAGAAUUCUUGGGGCACUGUUUGGGCUUCUUAUUGGGCCCAACACAAUUCUUUCAUGGGCCUAGAUGGCCCUUAAUUGGGUUGGCCCAAAUCCAAGCCCAAUUACGUACUAAUUAUGAUUCCUAAGACAUAUUCUAAGCUAAACAUGUCCGUAAGUCUUGGUUCUUCUAGCGAGCUUCCGGCGAACUUUUGACGAUCUCUCGGUAAUGUUCCGACGAACUCCCGGCAAGCUCCUAAACUUCACGACGAUCUUCUUGGCGAGUUCCGACGAGCUUCUUUGCAAGCUCCACGACUUCUCGGCUAGUUCCGCCAGAACUUUCGACGAACUCUCGAACUCCCAAUGAUGUCGCGUCCUUGACUCCGGGACUUCAGUUUGCUUCAUGCCUUGCUCUCGUAGUUAAUCCUGCACAUGUAAAAACACACUUCGAUCUAGAAAAUUAAUACUAAGCAUUAAUCAAGUUGUCCGGUAUGUCAUUGGUCCCUCGACGCUUCGUCUAAUUUUUCGUCGCAUCGUCCUCUCUUGCGGCCUAUUGCCCAAUCGGCUAGUUGACUCCGCAACUCCGAUAUCCUUGGCGCAAUAUCCUCUCUUCUUGGCCCGAUGCCCGAAUCUAUGGCCCGAAGCCUUCUGUCGAUACGUCGACCGAUCCACCGGUCCGACGUCCAAUCUUCUGACAUGUUCCUCAUUCUCAACAUGAUUUUUCUUGCUUUAAUUGUCUCAUCCUGAUCGAAGCAUCAUACGUCACUCAAAAUACAGAUUAAAACAUAAAUACACAUCAGUUGGUUUCAUCAUCAAAAUACGAGAUUCAACCGCUACUUAGCUACAUCAUUACUUUUUCUUUUUUAAAGAUAUGGGGGUGUUUAUAUUUAAUAAAAAAAGUAAAAAAAUUCCCCAGUCAAUAUUCAAAAUUUAUCGAUAUUUAUUAUCCGUAAAUAUAAUAAAAUUUGAAUGCUUUAGAGGGUUUUAGUUUAUUUUUAUUAUAGAACUAACUUAAGGUAUUAUUACCCACUUAACAUCCUCGUCCAAUCGUUAUUAGAGAUCGAUUCGAUGAGAUAAUCGAUCCAUUAAUUUUUAUUAUUAUUAAUCUAAUUUUAUUAUAGUAAUCUCACCUGAUUAUUAUAAAUCGAUUCAGAUUCUGCAUGCAUGGGAAGCCAUCAACAUUCGUCCAAGUGCGCAGCGUUCUACGCGUCGGCUGCAGGCACAGCGACUCCUGGCAGUCCUCAGGACCACUGGACUUUCCCAGAAAUAGCUGGACCCACAUGUCUCCCCCAGAGGGAACCCGCCACGUGUACCCGCUACAGGAAACCCAAAUCGACAGAGCAACAAACGAAACAAAAGGCUGUCGUAUUGUCUUAUUAUGUAUAACAUUUACAAAAACCUAAAACAGUAAUAAAAAAAGAGAGAUAUAUAUAUAAACCUUUUAUAAGAGAAAAAUAAGGGGGAAGUCGUCGCAUUCGUUUCCUCCUCUUCUUCCAGCCACACACACACAUACACACACACACACCACCGAAGGUCCCGAUCUCCCCUGCAAACCGGAGUGACGCCGGGCUCUUUCUUGCCAUCGGAUAACCAGUCUUCUUUAAAGCAACGGCAUCGCACAGAGACGUAACCAAUCCGUCCUUCGCCUCCGACGACGAAGAAGAAACAGGUUUACUUUCUGGAUUUGCUUUCUUCGAUCCGCGAUGUUAAAUCUUGGUCCUUCUGUCCACGAGACGUCAGAGGUGACGGCAAUCCAAGGCAGAAAGCGUGGUCCGACUACAACCGGCCUUUAAAGAUCCAUCAUUGUUCGUUGACAGAUCCUGCGAGCCGCUUUCCUUCACGGUGACCGGUUCACGGUUGCCACCGGCUGAUUUGUUUUCGUUCGCCUUUUCUUUUGAUAAGAUGUCUCUUCUUUUGUCACUAUGUUCUGGUCUUGAGAAUUAUCGCAUUCUGAGGAGUUGCCUCGAUCGUGCGUUCAUGAUUGCCUGCUGUGAUUUCCGGUUUUGAUUUCCUUUUGUGAUGCUUGUGAAGGCCCGCUCCGUUCUGUGCUACCGCUGUUCUGGGAUCAUACACUUUUGUUGCUCUUGAUGCGACUGGUGCAUAUGAUUUCGGGAACGUAGAGUUCGUCCAUGUUUGGUGCAAGGUCUCUGCCUUGCGACGUAUCUGACAAGGUAGUGGAGACUCCAAGAUUUUGGCUGUAUAAGAAUCAAUAAUUGAUCCAAGAAGCAAGAAGACUGUGACAGACUUCACACGCCAUGGUUGCUCUUGAAGGUAAAGUCCGCGGACCUGUACUCUCGCAUCAAUUCUUGCAUUUUUCUGCUCCACUGAGUUCUUUCUCUUGGCUAGAUGCUUGGAUGGCCUUCUGUGGUGAUUCUGCUUCUGCCGAUCAAGAUGGCGGUUCUUUCGGAUUUGGCGAACUAUUCUACUCUUCUUCAUGCAUGAACCACAUGUUCGUCAGUUUUGUCGAUGCGAUCCUCAUCAUCGCGUUCCUGCUCAACUUUGUCUGCAAAGUCUCAAGCAGAUCAGUCGACGCUCGACCGCUCUUCGGUCUGUCUUCUUCGUUACGAAUAACCGCUGCUGUGUUCAACUCUUUGCUGGGGUUGGUCUAUUUGGGCCAUGGAUUGUGGAUGCUGGUCGGCAAUCAAAGGACUGGCAUGGAUGGUGUGCACCCUGCACAUCAGUGGCUACUUGUUUUGUCGCAGGGCUUUUGUUCGGUGCUCGUCGUUUUGAUUGUUAGCGUCAGGCGCACACGAUUUGGACACACAUUCAUUAGGAUCUGGUCUCUCGCUGCUUCAUUCUCCACUGGAUUUGUAUGCUUUUCGUCCGUUCUAGCGGUCCUCGCAGAGAAAAAAGCAUCUUUUCUGAUUUGUGUGGAUAUCUUAUCCUUACCAGGAGCUGUUCUGCUGCUACUUUGCACCUUUAAAGGGUACCAGGCAGAUGGUUACGAAGCAGCUGACGGAUCUCUGUAUGAACCUCUCAAAGGUGAAUCCAACCCCAGUGAAGAAAAUUCAGAUGAAUCUGUGACUCCUUUCGCAAAAGCUGGAUUCUUUAGUAGGAUGUCAUUCUGGUGGUUGAACCCUUUGAUGAAGAAGGGGUAUCAAAGGCCCCUGGAGGAAAAGGAUAUCCCUCAGCUUGGAAAGGUAGAUCGAGCUGAGACUUGUUACUUGCUGUUUCUGGAGCAGCUAAAUAGACAGAAGGAGAGGCGACAAACCAGUUCGCCCUCGAUAUUGUGGGCUAUAGUUUCUUGCUUUCAGAAGGAGAUCUUAGUGUCUGGGUUUUUCGCAUUGCUUAAGAUACUGACACUAUCGGCUGGUCCACUGCUUCUCAAUGCCUUCAUCAAGGUGUCAUUAGGGAACGAGGUCUUCAAGCACGAAGGUUAUGUGCUGGCCUUUGGAAUGUUCUUGGCCAAAUGUUUGGAGUCAUUGUCCCAAAGACAGUGGUACUUUCGCACCAGAAGGAUAGGACUGCAAGUGCGGUCUUUGUUAUCAGCGGCUAUUUAUCAGAAGCAGUUGAAGCUGUCAAACUCGGCUAAAUUGGAUCAUUCCUCCGGGGAGAUAAUGAACUAUGUUACAGUGGAUGCCUAUAGGAUUGGGGAGUUCCCAUUUUGGUUUCAUCAAACGUGGACUACAAGCCUCCAACUCUGCAUUGCUUUGGUAAUUCUCUACCAUGCAGUAGGCCUUGCAACGAUUUCGGCGAUGGUUGUGAUUGUCCUCACCGUGCUUUGCAAUGCUCCCCUGGCAAAGCUACAACAUAAGUUUCAGACGAGGCUAAUGGAAGCUCAGGAUAUCAGGCUGAAGGCUGUAUCAGAAGCCUUGGUGAACAUGAAGGUGCUGAAGCUGUAUGCUUGGGAAACACACUUCAAGAAGGUGAUCGAAGGUCUGAGGGAAACCGAAUGCAAGUGGCUGUCGGCAUUUCAGCUUCGGAGAGCAUACAAUAGCUUCCUCUUUUGGACGUCCCCUGUACUUGUGUCAGCGGCUGCGUUUUCCACAUGCUAUUUUCUUCACAUUCCUCUUAAUCCUAGCAAUGUCUUCACCUUUGUGGCGACGUUGCGUCUCGUCCAAGACCCAGUGAGACAAAUACCUGAUGUGAUUGGUGUUGUGAUUCAAGCUAAGGUUGCCUUUGCGCGAAUACUCAAGUUUCUGGAUGCACCUGAGCUACAAAGCCACCAACUAAGAAACUUUUCCCAGGCCAACGUCGAGCACCCAGUUGCGAUCGAGGCUGGAAGCUUUUCUUGGGAGGAGAACACGAUGAAGCCAACGCUUAGGGGUAUUAACUUGGUGGUUAAGGCUAAGGAGAAGGUGGCAAUUUGCGGUGAAGUUGGCUCAGGAAAGUCAACUCUCUUGGCUGCUAUUUUGAGAGAGAUCCCAAAGACAGAGGGAAUGGUACGUUCUUGUUCAUCCUACUCAAUUUUUGUCGAUACCGAAUCAUACUAUUGCAUCAUUGCUCGUCUACUGCAAUCCUAAUUCUUGCUCUUUCUUUGGCUGUUUGUGAUUUAUAACUGGUUUUGCUUCUUCUCUUCUUUUUCAUCUUGGAUGAACAGAUUCAAGUUUCAGGAAAAAUUGCAUAUGUUUCUCAAACAGCAUGGAUACAAACAGGAAGCAUACAAGACAACAUUCUGUUCGGAUCAGCUAUGGAUCAGCAAAAAUACCAGAGGACACUAGAAAAGUGCUCUCUGGUAAAGGAUAUCGAAAUGCUGCCAUUUGGAGAUCUCACUGAAAUAGGAGAAAGAGGUGUCAAUCUCAGUGGUGGUCAGAAGCAGCGCAUUCAACUUGCCCGUGCACUCUAUCAAGAUGCUGACAUAUACCUCUUGGAUGAUCCUUUUAGUGCUGUUGAUGCCCACACAGCUACCAGUCUAUUUAAUGUAAUGGCUUCUACAUUAAAUACCUUAUGUCAAUGAUAUAUAUUUCCCUGUUUGAUCUGAAAGUUUAGUGCUGUUUUUUUUUCUCUUCUCGAAGGAAUAUGUUAUGGGUGCUCUGGCAGAGAAAACAGUUCUUCUGGUCACUCACCAAGUCGAUUUCCUUCCAGUUUUUGACUCAAUUUUGGUUAGUCUUUGAAUUAUCUGCCAUACAACUUCCGUAGUUUAUUGUGUUAUGCAUUCAUCACUGUCAUGUCUCUUUGCUAAACAUUAUUUAUACUCUGUUUACCUGUGGCAGUUGAUGUCGGAUGGGGAAGUUCGUAGUGCUGCUCCUUACAACGAGCUAUUGGCUUCUAGCAAAGCAUUUGAAGACCUUGUUAGUGCACACAAGGACACGGUCGGUCCCGGAAGACUCGAAGGUGUUGGUUCGCAGAGACAAAGCAAGACAUCUGCAAGAGAGAUCAACAGUAGCAAGAAACAAGAAAUGGUGAAACCAUCAGGACGAGAUCAACUGAUAAAGAAGGAGGAGAAAGAAAGUGGUGAUACGGGUCUUAAGCCUUACAAACAGUAUCUGGGCCAGAACAAGGGGUACCUGUAUGCCUCGAUAUCAGCUCUUUCUCAUUUGAUCUUUGUAGCUGGCCAGAUCUCGCAGAAUUCAUGGAUGGCUGCCAAGGUUCAAGAUCCUCAAGUCAGCAUGUUUCUACUAAUCGUGGUGUACUUGUCAAUUGGGUUCAGCACCGUCCUCUUCUUGCUAAGUAGAUCCAUUUUUGUAGUGGUUCUCGGUAUCCAGUCUUCCAAGUCAUUGUUCUUCGAGCUCAUGAACUCGCUGUUCCGUGCUCCAAUGUCAUUUUUCGACUCCACGCCCAUUGGAAGGAUUCUAAGUCGGGUAAGCAUGUCCGAAUCAAACUCAACUUCCUUUCUGUAGUAAUAUGGAGCCUUUAAUUAUGAAGAAAAUUCACACGUUUAUCGAGCUAAUAUUUCUCUCUCAGGUUUCAUCCGACUUGAGUCUGGUUGAUCUCGAUGUUCCAUUUAGCUUCAUCUUCAGCGUCAGUGCUACACUGAACGCAUACAGCAAUCUUGCAGUACUCGCUUUUGUGACAUGGCCAGUUUUAUUUGUUUCCAUACCAAUGGUCUACCUCACCAUUCGAUUGCAGGUGAUCUCCACAACUGUGUUUUCUGAUUCUUGGAUGUUAACUGCUAUCUUGACCGAGUAACCGAUGCUUGUGUUGUAUGCUGGAUCUGCAGAGGUACUACUUGGUUUCUGCUAAGGAGUUGAUGCGCAUUAAUGGAACCACAAAGUCUCUGGUGGCGAAUCAUCUGGCUGAGUCCAUAUCUGGAGCAACAACAAUAAGGGCUUUUGAGGAGGAAGAUCGAUUCUUUUCCAAAAGUUUGGAGCUCAUCGACAAAAAUGCGAGUCCCUUCUUCCAUAAUUUUGCUGCCAGUGAGUGGUUGAUUCAACGAUUAGAGACUAUGAGUGCUGCCAUCGUUUCUUCAUCGGCACUCAUCAUGGCUUUGCUUCCUCCAGGAACUUUUAGCUCCGGUAAGCAUUCAAAUACAAAUCGUCCUUCACUGCUUCGUCGUGCAUUGCUAUAUGUGGUGAAAUCAUGAUUUAUAUAUUCCUGAUCAGCAAAUACAAGAAUUUAGUAGAUCAAUUUCUUUUAACAAUAAUGGAAAUUGUUACAUCUGAUCAAGUGAAAAUUAAGUUAACUUCAUCAAUUUCCCUAUGGAUUCCCUCUGAAACAUUCAUCUUUAACACUGUUCAAUCCUGUGUGACCAAGCAAUACAGUUGUCUUUGUGGACUGUUUAGCUCUUUGUUCUUAGAGGGAUCAGACUUAGAACUAUGAAAAACACACAUGAUGAAACUAACAAUUUGCAUGUAAGCAUAUGUACAUCUGUGCGAAAUAUCGAUUCUUCGUUUUAGAGAGUAGAUAGAUAGAUGUAAGUGGACCCAAAUGAACUGUUGUUUAAUUCCUCAAUUCUGGCACAGGUUUUGUUGGAAUGGCACUGUCUUAUGGUCUUUCUUUGAACAUGUCGCUGGUCUUCUCUAUCCAAAACCAGUGCACUCUAGCAAAUCACAUCAUAUCAGUAGAAAGGCUGAAUCAAUACAUGCAUGUCAGCAGUGAGGCCCCAGAAAUCGUUCGAGGCAAUCGGCCGCCAUCCGAUUGGCCCGCUAUUGGUAGAGUAGAACUUCGUGAUUUGAAGGUAAACUUCAACAAAGCACACUUUUUUCUCGGAAUAUUUACUUCGAUUCUAAUUUUGAAUGGAGUAAGAUUAAUGUUCCCUUAAAUCUCCACAAACAGAUCAGAUACAGGCCUGAGGCACCCCUUGUACUCCGCGGAAUCAGCUGUACGUUCGAAGGGGGCAACAAGAUUGGGAUAGUUGGAAGGACGGGAAGUGGUAAGACAACUCUGAUAGGUGCAUUGUUUCGUCUCGUUGAGCCCGCAGGAGGAAGAAUCACCAUUGACGCUCUUGAUAUCGCCACGAUUGGGCUACAUGAUCUGAGGUCACGUCUCGGAAUCAUCCCUCAGGAUCCAACCCUCUUUCAUGGUUCUGUCAGAUACAAUUUGGAUCCUUUGGGACAGUAUACGGAUCAGCAGAUCUGGGAGGUAUAUAUAUAGUGGUUUUCGAUCUAUACUAUCAUAUCUAAAAUAUUAAUUUCUCAGCGAGAACCAAAAAUUUAUUCUGGUUAUGAGAAAACAUUGUCGAUUGAGUCCGUCUUCUUUACAAUCCUAAAGGUUCUCGACAAGUGCCAGCUACAGGAAGCUGUUCAAGAGAAACACAAGGGGUUGGAUUCACUAGGCAAGACACAGCAACACUAUGUGAUGUCUCUUUCUUUGUGUAAUAGAACCGUGAUACUAACUAAUUUUGCUUGAGACCUACUUGCACUGCAGUGGUUGAAGAUGGAUCGAAUUGGAGCAUGGGGCAAAGACAAUUGUUUUGCCUGGGACGUGCACUUCUAAGGAGGAGUCGCAUACUAGUGCUCGAUGAAGCCACGGCAUCCAUCGACAAUGCCACCGAUGCCAUUCUUCAGAAGACCAUAAGAACCGAGUUUGCAGAUUGCACAGUCAUCACGGUUGCUCAUCGCAUCCCAACUGUGAUGGACUGCAACAUGGUGCUUGCUAUCAGUGAUGGUGAGUCCUUUCUGCAUUUGCUCAUCCAACCCCAACUGUUGUUAUCACGUAGAACAACAGCGUAGAGAUGGCAGAAGAGCAGCUUAAACGAGUGUUGAUAAACACCUGUUUCUUCUGUUGGUUCAGGAAAAUUGGAGGAGUAUGAUGAACCCAUGAAACUGAUGGAAAGAGAGGGAUCGCUCUUCGGGUCGCUCGUCAAGGAGUACUGGUCACAUGCUGCAAAUGCAACCAUCCAAUUCACGGACUCGCACUGAAGAAUCCGAAUCCCUUCGUGACUCUCAGCUUCCUCCACUGGAUAUAGCUAAAAGAGACGUGCAAAUUUAUAUCGAGAUGUAACAUCUUGUCUCGUUGGUUUGACUGCUUUGGGAACAUCAAGAGUCGUAAACGUGAAACCCCAUGGUGUCACAAAGUUGUUAAUGCAUGUAAAUGAUGGUCGAUUUCAGGGCAACUUUGUGAUCUUUAGUGCUCGUUAACAAUUGUUGUAUCAGAUAUGAUCAUCAAUGUCAAACAACCAAUCAAUAUAUACGGUCCAAUCUGUCAUUAAACCAGGGUGUUUCUACUUUGAUCAUUUUUCUUGAUCUCAUCAUUAGUCUUUUUAGGAUUAUAUCUAUCUAUCUAUCUAUCUAUCUAUCUAUCUAUCUAUCGUGACCGGAAGCGAUUUUGAUAGUUCAUGCAUAUCCAAGUUGUAUAUGUGUCCUAAUGAUGCAAGUGAUGGAACAUCCAAAUGUUGUGAAUAAUUUUUAUAAUAAUCUAUAGAAUUGUGUUUUUUUUUAGUAUGAUUUUGCUCUUGGUCCAACUCUUCAUCUGAACCUUUCAAGUUUCAACAUUCUCAGCAUAUUGUCCCUUAGUUAAGGAAGUUAUGAUAGUAGAUAAGAUAUUUAGGUAAAUUUUGAUGUCAAAUAAUUUAUGUUCAAGACUCAAACCUUUUACUAAGACUACACAAAAAUUUGUCUAUUUAUCUAUCAGUCAAAAAACACUUUUAAGGUUGAUCGCUUCUGUUAUAUAUGGUGGGAACCGACUCUAAUAAAUAGAUGCUUAAUAUGAAGAGAAAAAUGAUGGGCAGAUAAUAAAUAGAAAAAAGAGAAAUGGAGAGAGAAAGAAGGUGAGAAAAACUUGAUUUGUAAAAGUAUUAUUUAAAAAAUAAAUAAAAAAGUUAGAGUUUAUCGCGUAUGAAGAUCAUCAAGGACGAUAAUUUGGACAUCCUUUCUAUUAACUUAGGUUGCUUAGAUAUUGAUACAUGAGUCCUUAUUGUAAGUUGGCUAAGGAGAGGAGGCAAAUCUAUAAUGUCCUAAUCAGAUCUACUUUGGUACCAAAGGUUGGUACUUAAAUUAGGUUAGUGGGUUAAAAAAAAUUGAUGAGGAAACCGAUAGAAAGGAUAAAGAGACGAUAAGAAGUUAAACUAAUACUUUUAGUAGGCAAUAAAAAAAUCAACCAUAAGCUUAAGCUCUCAUAAUAUUUCAUACUUAUUGAUGAACUAGUCAAAGUAAGAGUCAAAGCUUAAAUGAUUACCGUUGGCUACUAUUGGUGAACUGAUGCGCCGUGGCUGAUGAGUCGGCACGGCUUGGUCCACGAGUCGAUGUCGGGAGUUCCCGAUCGAUUCGGAGAGACACCUUGGCUGAUUACGUCCGCAAGUCGAGAUGCCGACGUCGUCUAAGGGGAAGCACCUCUCGAUUGGGACACUAGCAUUGUCUUCGGGGAGGGGUCUCUCGGUCAGGACACUAGCAUCGUCUAUGGAAAAGGCGUCUCUCGGUUGGGGUAGUCGCACUUCCGGGGCGACAGCCCCUCGAUGACUAAGUUAGUGGUUGGUUUUCUCUUUUUUUCUCCCUCUGGUCGGAUGCCGGUUAGGGGCUUUUAUAUUACUAUAUGAGGAUCAGCUGUAUGGGGGUUUGGCACGGCAAUCGUUCCCCGAGUGGCGAGGUGGUACCUUCGUGCAGUCGUCGUCCCGGAAUGCACGGAACGACUCCAUGCGAUGCCAUCCCGAGCUUUUUGGGAUGGGAUGUACCGAGAAGCGUCUUAGUACGGAUCAUAUCUUGGCGCGUACAAAUACUCCUCCUGAUUCGACAAGGGCGUGAUGCGAUAUUGGUGGUGACAUGAUUGAGGCCCAAAAUAUGCCUUAUCAGCUACCAUUUGCGAGAACGUUUUCUACCUAUCUUGAUAUCAUAAAUGAUUACUACGGGCUCAUUAAAUUUGCGGAUUUGGCUGCUGUUGAAGAUCUAUGCUCGUAGAUGAUGCCAUAUUCUACGAACGCAUAUACACCAAUAAUAAGCAUGUGUCGCACAACAGGGGAAAUGAGAAGGUACAGGUCACUCGAGAAUUUUGGACGUACAAGAAACAAUAAUUUAUCCAAGAAGCAAGAAGACUGUGACAGAGUUCACAACCCAUGGCUGCCCUUGCAGGAACAGUCCCCAAAUCUGUACUCUAUCCUCAAAUCUUUUGUUUUUCUGCUCUACUGAGACACCGAGAUCCUUCUCAUGGUUAGAUGCUUGGAUGGCCUUCUGUGGUGAUUCUGCUUGUGCUGAUCAAGAUGGCGGUUCUCGUGGAUUUGGCGAACUAUUCUACUCUUCUUCAUGCAUGAACCACAUGUUCGUCAGUUUUGUCGAUGCGAUCCUCAUCAUCGCGUUCCUGCUCAACUUUGCACGCAAUGUUUCAAGCAGAUCAGUCGAUGCUCGACCGUUCUUCGGUUUGUCUUCUUCGUUACGAAUAACCGCUGCUGUGUUCAACUCUUUGCUGGGGUUGGUCUAUUUAGGCCAUGGACUGUGGAUGCUGGUUGGCAAUCUAAGGACAGGCAUGGGUGGUGUGCACCCUCCACUUCAGUGGCUACUUGUUUUGUCGCAGGGCUUUUGUUCGGUGCUCGUCGUUUUGAUUGCUUUGUGAACAUGAAGAGUUACUAAAUGAGAAACCUCAUGUCUUCACAAGGAUGAUCUUAAUACGCGUAAAUGAUGGUCGAUUUCGAGGCUGCUAAAUGAGAAACCUCAUGGCUUCACAUGUCUUCAGUGCUCGGUACCAAUUGUAUCCGAGUGUUUCACUUUCCUAAUCAUUAAUAGUCGGAUUCUGUCGCGAUAUCUCUGUAUCUCCUUAUGCAGAAAGAAAAAUGAGUUGUUUACACAGGUAAUUUGGCCACCAAAUAGAUCCCAUCCUCCCUGAACAGAAACUUAAUGCUUUGUUGCUAAUUGGUUUUAUGAUCUCUCUCUAAUAUGUUUCCUUGCUUUUUUUGACCAAUCAAUUGAAACAAAUCUUUAUCAUACAUAUUUCUGCAGCCUUUAUCUAUUCCAUAGAUUCAUUUCCUUUUAGAUCAGAUGUUUCAAGUAAUCAGAGCGAGCAGAGAAAGGGAUUCCAACUCUCCUCACUUUGAUCCACUCAUCCAUCUCUCCCAAUUUAAAUAAUAUUAAAAUUUUAACUAUUUCAAUGAACCUAAUCAGUGGGUCCCUGCAGCUGGUGAAUUGCGAAUCGAUCACACUCGUUCUGAAUUAGGGUGUUUCUUUCAAAGCAAAUGCAGCUUCUCUUUAUCAUGCCAAAAGGUUGAUCACACUCUUUUAAGUAUGCUACAAAUUACGUAUUGAUAUGCUUCGAUCACGGAAAUCCACUGAAAGCUAUAACAUGAAACACACCAUUUUACAACAGUCAUGUCGACAAGGAAGGCAAGAAUCAAAUAUACCCUUUUAAUGGGUUUUUACUCAGAUAAAUUCUCAAGUUUACAGAUUGUUAAGCAUAGCAGGAGCUAAAGUUUUGAAAUUCAUAGUUAUCAUAAAAGAGAUUUCAAACCAUCCUCUUCAAACAAAAUUACUAUGAACAAUAUAAUGCAUGAUUAUGUUGUGGUUUAAAAAGAAAACAAGUCGGUGGUAAAAGGUACAAAAAAACUUUCUAGCAUUACUAUGAACAAUCAAGAUAUUCAUUACAUAGGCCGUAACUAGCGCACAUGAACAUCUGAGUGAAAUACAAAAUUUAUAGAGGAAUGGAUGGUUUAGUGAGAGACAAACCAGUCUGCAUCCUUCACUCUCCAAAGUACCUGCGUAUCGGCAUCACUUGCUUCUUUUCAUUGUCUGAUGCUUUCAGACGAGCUUGCUGUCCCUCUAACCUUGCUUCAAGCAAUCUCGCCUUCAAUGUAUUCUCUUUUACACCUUCUGCUAAUUUUGAUGAGGAUCGAGAUAUAUCAACAUCUGGAGACUUGUGUUGCUCAAUACAAUUUAGAUUUGAACUUGUGUUUCGGAAAUGUCCUGAAGCAAUGCCCUCACUUGCUACAAGAAAAUGAUCCUUCGACGAGGAAUGACUAUGGUGCUCGUCUCCAUGAGAUAUAUUAUGAUCGACUUUACAACACUCGGAAUUUUCUGCAACAUUGUUCACAGAAUUAGCAAUCAGGUGGUCUAGACGACGCCCAUUAUCCCACUUCAUUUUCAUGUCCUGUGAAACUUCAAGCGCAUGGAAGUGACUAAAAACUUGAGGUUUAUUAAUUCUGAUAUGAUCAGCUACUCUUCCUUCAGAUUCAGGAUUGCUGUCCGGAUGCUUUCCUUGUGUUCUGUUUGACAGCUGCAUUUGGCUUCCACAUGACUUAGUUUCAUCCUUUUCUUCCCUGCACUUCAAAUGCAAGCUAGAUGAAAUCUGAUUCUUGCUCUUUUCAGAAGAUCCCCUCUCUUCGACUGAGAAAGUAGACCUUUUGGUUCUGGAAGAAUCAAACUUUUCUACAACAUUAUGACCAUUCCGCUGUUGCUGGUCAAUGCUGACAGUGUUACUUGCACCCAUAUUUAGUUCAAAGCAGUGCAAAUCACUUGCAACAGAAUCAUCAUCAUCAUCAGCAUCUUGCGGUGCACUAGCAGCACCAUUUAAGUGGACAGACUCAAGUGACUGCCGCCGCAAAUUGAUCUCUCUCUUUUCAUGGUUCUCAUACAGAUAACCAUUAUUAGAGACAGAUGACCUACUAGCUUGAAUGAAGGCUUCAAUUUCACUUCGUAAUCUAUCUGCAACCAUGGUUUUAUUAGCAAUAUCUCCUCGAGCUUCAGCGAUAUUCAUCUGCUCUCUCUCAUCCAGCCAUGCCUCUGAAAUAUGAAGUACCAACCGAUCAACUUUGUGAUCGCAAACUUUUACAGACCUUUGCUUCAACUGCCUCACUUCAUGUUCAUAAUCCCUGAUUCCCUUAGCAAACUCAUCGCAGAGAUCCUCCAGAAGGCCAUUUGUUUUUCUCACAUUUUCUAGAUCUUUUGCAGCCUUCAUAAAUGCUGCUUUUGCUUCAGACAAUUCUUUACCUAGUUUUCUAUGCAGACUUUCAGAGCGUUUUCUUAGCCGUCUCUCAUCUUCAAGCUCAUCCCUUAUUGACUGCACUACAGCUUUGAUCCGCUGUUGCUCUUUCUCCUUCCUAAUUAUUUUAUCCUCAGUAACUUGCUUCAUUAAAUGAUCCAUUUCACCACGAUAUGCAUGCUGCUCUUGCAUCAGCUCCUGAAUUCGUGCUCUUGCAUGUUCCAACUCCCCCUUCAGUGCUUUCACCAAUGACGCAUUGGACUCAUUGUGUUCUUCAAGGCUCCAAAUGUGAUUCAAUACUUUCAAGAGUUCUGUUGAUGUUCUCAAACCAUAUCCUGCAUCUCCAAACUUAUCCUUGAGAUCAGUAGCACUGCUAUGAGUGAUGGCUAGGUUAAAUGGAGCAAUCUGCCAGUGACAUGACCAAAGAACAAGAAAGUUAAUAGUAGUACAACAACAAUGAAACCGUACUCUCCCAACUAAGAACAUUGACUAAACUGCCAGAACAAAGAUUCUUAUUGGAAUAAAGAACAUUUAGUAAUGCAUAUACAUUUAAAAGCUGACAGAUCAAUGUUUGUAUUAAGAAUUCCAUUGUGUACAAACUAUGGCUUGCCUCAUUCACCAAGAUGAGUCCUUUAACUAUUCAAUUAACCGAAGAUAGUUUCAAGCAAUGAAAUCUCGCGAAAAAAAGGCCCCAUGGAGUUAAGCAAACAAGCUAUAAAGCCAAAACAAACAUUACCUUAUAUGAACUCGUAUAACUUGCAGGAGAAACAGGUUGCAAAUUAUGACUGUUCCCUUCAUGCAAAUGCUGAUGCUUGAUCGAUGAAGCUUCAACAUGCCUCCUCAAACUGCCUACACUCUGAGGCUGGCAUGAGAAAUCAGACAAACUCACACAAACUGAAGAUGUCUCAACAUGAAUAACAAGUCACUUCAGAUAAAAUGUGCAAAGUCUAAAUGAGCUUGAAAAAGUAAAAAAUAUAUAACCAACUGACAAAUAGUUGUCAUCUCGAUGAUGAUGAUAGAUUUUGGAGUAAAGGUUCCAUGACAAAUUGCAAAAUAAAACUUGAGAACAUGCACUCACAAAUUAUGUGAAACACAAAAAAAGGUAAAGUACAACAUAAGAUGCCAGUGCUUUAGAAACAAACACAUCUUUUGGAAAAAAAAAACACAUGAAAUAUUUGAGCGAGCAUCCCACCAGUAUAUGGAUAGCAUAUAUACCUGCUGUCCAUAGGUCCCAAGCACUUCGCCAUAAAAAAUUAGUUGGGAAGUUAUGCAUAACAUCUGGAGAUGCCUAUAUAAGAGGUGAUAAAGGAGAAAACCAGUACUUUUUAGGACAUCAGGUACAUGGUUUGACAUGUCAAAAAAUAAAAUUUGCCAAAUAAAUUACAGCUUAUUUAGAUUAAUGCAACUUACCAUUUUGGUUUUGUUAAAACUUGGCAUCCAUCCAAGGUAAGUCCUGACUAUACAACUCUUCAAGAUUUAUAGGUUUCCCCAUGGUUCUUAAGAAAAGGUAUUAUUAUGAACAAUGCAACACAUAUUCUCGGAUCCUUCCUCGUAUCAAAUUAGAUACAUAUCCAUGUGCUGAGUACAAAUCCAUAGUAUAGCCACUCACCAAACUCUUGCAUAUAAAUUUGAAAUAUCAACAAAUAUGAUGAUACCAGAAUUAGGAACUUGUUUUAGUUUCCAAGAUGGCAAGAUGUAGUUUUCUAAUAUUUUAUAUUCGUCCUAGUAAGCAUCACAGAUAAUUUAUUAAAGUUUCUCUUUGACUGUUGCAUUGACCCUCCCCAAACUCCACAUUUCCAAGAGCCUCAUUCACAUGUGUGAACAAACUCCUCUUUAUCUCCUUGUCACAAACACCAUGCAACACUGCUUAAGAAGGAACUGCAGUAGCCAAACUUUUGUUUAAUCGAACUUAUUUCUUCCUUUUCGCUAUUAUGGUGAUUGCUAGUUUCUUGUUCAAAAGAAUUUAUAAAACCUAUGACAACAUGGUAAGAUGAAAUUUUUAUGGCACAAGAAAUUUCUAGUAUUUGCCGGUUAUCAUUUCAUUUUACGACGUUUUCUAGUAAUCUUUACUGGUAUCUUUUAAUUUUACAACCAUCACCUUAGCAUCAAUACACACAGUCCAAAACAUGCAAACAAAAAAACCCAUGGUAUUUUGACUUCUAGCAAAAUAAAUGUUGACCUAAUUACCCUGACCAUCAUAAGAAAUUUAUGAUAUAACUUGGUAAAUUAUAUCAAGUUAAUUACCAAAGCUUUGGUAAUUUUGACUUCUAGCUUUGGUAAAUUCAAAAGCUGCUCGUGUCAUCCAAAAUUGAACCUAAUUACCCUGACCAUCAUAUAACUUGAAAAAGUCACCACUACAUAAUUUUUUCCUGACAUAGCAGAUUCAUUAUUGCUUUAACAAGGAGACUAUAAGUCCCAUGAUUGUACUGUAGGCCUUUCAACUUGCAUGAGGAAAAUAUAUAAUCUUUUCACUAUUAUUUGACAGGACCAGAAGAGACGCAAAUGCGGAAUUGCAUGAAAGAUUACUUUGUUCUGCUUAAGCUCGUGUUUCUUGUAGGGAUCUUUCUUUAGACAACAAGCGGAUGUGGUUUAUAGCCUGCCCAUGGACGAUGGUACGGAUUCAUUGCCAUCUAUAUAGUUUUUUACACAGCAACUAAAGUUUCAUAUAAAUGAAUCAUGAAUUCCUUCUCACAUCCUAUUGUUUAGCCUAUAAAUAACAGAAACUAACAGAUGACUAAUCCUUAUCUUUCCUUGUCUUCUAGCUGCAACAUGUUGCCUAUACACAUCCAAUUUGUACCUCUACUUGGACGUAGAUUAUAAUCACCAAUCAAUAUUCAUCAGUAUCAACAAAAGAGUUUCACUUCUUAUUACGAAUUAAAAGCAUGUCUAGGAGAAGCCCAUUAGUUCCAACCCAUACAUUUUCAUCUGUCACGAGAUAAUACUCUUUAGCAUACAUUACCGGAAUACCAGAUUGUCAUUAGCCAAAAAUCCAAGUAAUAAACUUUGACAAAAGCUGCAAGAGGACAACCACAGGAAAAUCUACGACAAUCAAGCCAACAAUGGAAAACCUCAUUCCAAGAAGGCAAGUUGAUCAAGAAAUUGCACCUUGCACAAGAAAAAUCAUACGUCAUAUGGAAUGAUAAAAGGUAGAGAUUGGAUCCCGGCGAAACGAAAUAGUUACAAGAAUAGAAAGCGAAGAAAUCCGCCAGCCAAUACCUAAAGAACUCAAAGCUUACCAAAUCUUCGUGCCCGAGUAUAUGCGACGGACCGAUACCGUCCUCGAGCGCCUUCCCAUCCCGACGGUGGCGGCGGAUCCUGGCGCCUCGCCGGCCGGCCGCGGACAUCGUCAGGACGUCCUGAAUCUCCCAGAGGCCAGCGCCAAGCUUGCGAGCGGAGACCGACCGCCGGUGCGGCUGGGCCUUGUCGGGGUCGGACAGUCCGGGCUCCUCCAGCUUCCAGGACGGCACCGGAGUGCAAAGGCCGCCCCUCCUGUUCGCGGAGAUGGCUCUCCUCAACUUCACGCCCAAAGGCGCCUCUUUUCCAGCGCCAUCCCCUUCACCCUCAUCGAUUGCUGCUGCUGCUGCUUUGUCCCCUUCCAUCAAUCCCCCUUAAAUCUCUCUUCCACCCUUCCCUUUAAAAAAGAGUAGACCUUUUUCUUCGCCCCGAGGUGCCCUCCCCCAUGUUCCUCUUGCUCUCUUUUUGAGCUCCCCCUCUUCUUCCUAGUGGAACCUCCGACUGCAGUCACUGCUAAUUUCGGUGUAACAGCCUGUUCUCCACGGGGACUGUAAGAUUCGACCCUUUUCUUCGCUCUCUCGCUGUCACGGGAAGGGAAUACUAGGGCUUAGAUUCCGGAAUACGAGGUGCUGCUCCCUUGUAUUUACAAGCUAAUGUUUUUUACUCUCUUCACCGUACGUACAUUAAAACAAAAUAAUAAUAAUUUACAUAUUAAAAAUAAUUUAAUAUCAUCGAACCGAUGCCCAAUUUCACCGGUUCAAUUGGGGUUGUGGGUCGGGUCAACCGUAGAGAGACGUUUUACGUGUCAUGAUUACGCUUCGGCACGUUAGUUCUCAUGCUCGUGAAUUUUAAUGCAGCGUAGAAGCAAGCUACACCCUUUUCCUCUCGCGCUCUCUCUGUUAUUCCUCAUCGUGGUUCCCACAGAGUUGGGGGUGGUACAGACUUCAAGCGUCGACAUUUAACUUGACUCACCACCAACAAAUCGAGACACAACAUCAACCAGCGUUCAGUGAAGCAGGUUCCGUGUCGGCCGGGUUGCGAAUCGAAUCACAGCAACGACUCGAGGGUUGCGGACAACCGAAUCAGUAUCUGCUGGGUGGACAGGAAUGACUCGUCUCUUUCUUGGCAACAAACCCAUUGCCUGCGUCCCGAUCUGCUGGACUGGAACGAAGGUCCAGUGUCGCACGACAGCCCCCACAUAAUUAGCAGUCCAUACGAUAUGGAUGUCUAUGGAUCGAGCUUUUCAUGCGAUCAUGUCGAUCUGACCCGUUUAAACCAGGUUCCGAUUCGCUAUGACUCCGGCAGCCAAUGCGAUCAUUGUCACAAGAAGCAUAAGAAACAUACAAUUCCUGGUGGACAACAUAUUCACGUGUAAAAGCAUCCCAACACACAGGAUCUCUGCCGACAGCUUAAAAAGAGCAUCAGUUGAACACAAUUCCACGUUUCGAGUACAAGAAAUUUGUAUAUUAUUCAUACUAGUUGAUAAUCUUUCUAGCGCCAAUCUAAUAAGGGACCAUUUGAUCGAUCGAUCAUUGGUGCGGCCCAUAGGCUCACGAAGAAUUAUCCAUUUUAAACGAUGAGCGUACUCAUUUGAUUUUUACCUUUGGGAAUAUGUAAAUUCUAAAAGGCAAUUCUAAGGAUAAGGGAGAUCCGACGAACUUAUGAGCUCUUGAUUCAUAUACUUCUCAACCAAUAUUGGACUAAAUGACCUUAUCAUCAUUCUUCAUAAGUGAUAGAUCCUUAAGGUCACUCCGGAAGGAAAAAGUGAAUCUCUUAUAGGUCAUUAUGAGGCUCAUACAACAUAAUGCUGUUUUUCCAAAAUAUUUGACAUGAGUAUCAGUUUCUGGGGAAAAAAAAUUGUGAUCACAGUGAAAAUUAGCCAAAUAGCCUAUGGAAUUUGCUACCCAGAGAUUUGAUAUGCUUAAGCAUGCUCGGAAUUAAUGAAUGACUUUUGUUAUCCCAAAAUACAUAAAUAAAUUGUUGAGUGGUAAAAAAAAUGAUGCUAGUCAACUGCAAGCACUGCCAUUUCAACAGCAACAUUUACCUCCAGGUUUUGCCAAUCACAGUGUAGAACAACAAGAAAAGUGAUGAAUGGUACAGGUACCAAGAUUAAGCUCUCACUAGUAUGAUAUCUAAGAAAUGGUCCUCUCUCUAACAGGUGGAAACAUCUUCAAGACAAUUUUAGGGUAACCAUGAGCAGUUCCAAUAGAUUUAAUUCCAUUAUCUAUUGGUUGUAUACAGUAUCCAUUGGCCUAUAAGUUUGUCUUAAUGAUGACAGAAUAAAACCAAAAUGGUUUGUUUUGACACUAAUGUUGUUCUUAAGUUCCUAACUUAAGCCCUAAUCAAGGGACUUUAUUGAAUAAUUUGCAUGGUGUUCAGAAUACUGCAAAAAAAAAAAUUGUCAAACAAGAAUCCAAUCAGACAUGUUCUUGAUGUGGAUAAUACUAUAGAAUACAACAAGAGAUGAAUUUGAAACCUAUACACACAAAAAGAUCUGAGAAAUUAUCCUAUGCAAAAAAAGAAAAACAAAGUGGCUGUUUCAAGGUAUAAGCUCUCCAGGAAAAUAUUGCUUCAGCAUUUUCAUGGGCAGGAAUUAGGAAAUGCAGGGAAGAUGUGAAUUGGAGAACAACAGCCAAUCUGCACUCCUGGCAGAAAAUUAAACUACUCAAAUGGUAAAGUUCACACCACAUUACCACAGGCUAUGAUUUUACAAGGAUCAAGUUCAGGGAAACCAUAUUGGGCCCAAAGGCCAUCUCAAUAUGCAAAAGCUUAGAAGACAAACAAUAAAAGGAUAUUAGAAAGGGUGGAAAAAGAAGGACAUGUUUAUGUGGAGUAAACAGACAAGCUCCCAGAAACCUUGGUUUAACUGGCACUAUGACCAGGGACCAAGAAAGUAAUUCUUGAUUUGCCACUAUCAUGAUAACAUAAUGCAACCUGAUACUGUUGCAUGAUUCUUCCAACAAUGAAGGCUUUCUUUUGCAAUUUACAAGACUGUGGCUGUUAUUCUGAUUGCAGGGACAUGCAUGAUCACACACAUUUCCUUUUCAUUCUCUUAGGCACAUCUUGUACAACAAAUCCCACACUAAGGUCCCCAUUCUCCAAUAUUCAAUCUGGUUUCUNNNNNNNNNNNNNNNNNNNNUCUUGUAACUUGCAAAAGAAAGCCUUCAUUGUUGGAAGAAUCAUGCAACAGUAGUAGGUUGCAUUAUGUCAUCAUGAUAGUGGCAAAUCAAGAAUUACUUUCUUGGCACAUAUUUCUGAUUGCAGGGACAUGCAUGAUCACACACAUUUCCUUUUCAUUCUCUUAGGCACGUCUUAUACAACAAAUCCCACACUAAGGUCCCCAUUCUCCAAUACUCAAUCUGGUUUCCUUCCCUUGCCAUGCACUAAAGCUAAGAACAAAGGGUGCCCUGGGCACCUGUAAAUUCUUCCCUGUCUAAUAUCGAUCUAUCAAAGAGAAACAAGCCAAUAUCUAUUAAGAAACAGUAUGAGUAAUUGCUUGUCACAAUCAGUUUCAACUUGUAGUCUGCUAGCUGCAAAACCGAGCAAACCCAGGGAAGUUAGUUAACAGUCCUUCCAUCAGAAAGACGUUGAAGGAACAUUUGGUUUAAAGGAGUGCCAUAGCCAGGAAAAGAAGCCCCUGCAAUCUAUUCUGUGCUGUAUCUUUUCCAUCACUUAAAAGUAGAACAAUCACCAUGACUACAAGCAACUAGUUAUUGAACUCCCUCGCACCUUCUACCUAGAAGAAACAGCACAGUAAUUGGGUCAUGGCAAAUUUUUAUUGCUUUGUUCUGAACGGUGUCCUGUUGCAAGUGUCGACCUUGGAGACAGAGCGUACAUUUAUGAUUCAACAGGCAAUAAAUGGGAACAUCUAGCCAUCAAAAGCUACGAUUCUGCCUAAAGCCUGACGAGUACUGAGAAGAACAAUAAAUAAACUAUCGGGAGAACAAAGAAAAGAAGAAGAGAGAAUAAUUCAACAGCAGGUCAGAACCAAUGCCAAAAGCCAGGGUUCUUUUCAGCACUGAACUGCUCCUUCCCCCGAACAUUUGCCCGCAACAGCUGCACCACAGCUGUAAUUAUUUAAUGCCAGAGCCCUCGCCCAUCAAAUCAACCAAUCCAAAUUACGUCCCACUCAAAGAUGACGCCUUUCUGACGUUAAGAGGGCUCGAGGAGGCACGGACGCAGCACGGCCUAGGGUUUACGCACCCACGUAAAUCCCACGAGCAUGGUAAAAUCAGAGAGGAAAAGGCCAAUAUUUACCAGUACGCCAGGACUCGAUUUUGGAAAGGCGAGACCGACGUGAAAUCCAAGAAAUGAAUGAAAAAGCAGCGCGUCGAAGAUGGGAAAGGGAUGUGACGACGACGUACCGAUGACUACGGUGCGGCGACCUUACGAGAGGAGGACGGCCACCUAGAGGGGUCACUGGAAGGGUGGACGCGAGUCGAGAUCGACGUUCCGUCGUCGGCUGAGAACAAGGUGGAAUCGGUGGAGGGAUUCUGGGGCUACGCGACGGCCACGGGAGCCAAUGAGGCGAUCGACCCACUGGGUAUAAGAACACUCCGGGUUUCUCGGAUUUCUCACACAUCCAAUAGAGGAAGAUGAAGUAUUCCCACAUUACAUUAUUUAUUGCUCAAUAAUAUUAAAACAAAUAAGAAAAUAUUUGUUAGAAAAUUUUAAAAUAACUUAAAUGAUCUUAAAUUUUUUUUUGUAAAAAAUAAAUUUUAAUUUACUUAUCCCUUUAGAUAUUAACAUCAUUCAUCUAAAUAUAUCACAUUAAUCUAAAAAAUAAAAAUUAGCCACCACUAAUUAUAAUUAGUGUUACCUAAUUUAAAUAAAAAAAAGGUAUAAUAAAUUCACAUUAAUCUAAUGUCAAUUGAAAAGUCAGAGAAUCAAAACUUAAUUAUAAAAAAUAAAAAAAUAUAUAUAUAUUUGAUAUGAUGGUGAUGUACCAAAUUUACUUACCACUAUAGUAUGAUUUCUAUGAGUUCUAAAAUAAUAAAACUAUAAAAUGAAGACAAACUUUAUAACUAUAAUUGUUUGGAAUGGAACAUUAUACUAUGAUCAUUUAUUAUAAUAGGGAGCAACUGAAAUGAGUGGGGAUGUAAAGAUGCCACACAACCCAUGCACCAUUAAAUAAUCAAAACACCCCUUGAAGAAUCUAUGUACUACAAUACUUUUCCUCUUGAUAGGUUUCGUUUGUUGAUUGGAGGAAGCUUUUUCUUUUGUGUGUGUGUGGAUUUGAUGAAGCUUCUUACGUUGGCAUGCCCACCCGAGAUGAGUCUCAUAACAGUGCACCAUCUCACCUCUCACUUGUCCUGCUUCACAGGGAUGUUUUGGACCAUACAUGAAGCAGUGUCAAAAUGGACAGCCAAAGACAAAAUCCACUGACCCAUAAGAAGAAGAUACAUUGGAUGCAUCACAUGUGAUUCAUGAUUGGCCUUGACUCCUUGGGUACUUGUACAAGUAACGCCACCAACCACUUGGAAAGCCUUUUCCUUUCUUUUCUUUUAGGUUUGGAAUACUUGAGCUAGAUUGCUCUGCCAGUGCAGGGAGGCAGCUCCAUCACGGCUCAGAACUAGCAGUACAACCAUGCUUCUCUCCUUUUAAUGGCUGGCUGGUAAUGGCACAGUUGGGGUGUGAGUGAAGGUGGCAGGGCCAGCGCUCAGGUCUGAGCCACCACCUGACAUCCCCUGACCUGCACUGGGGAGAGCUGUGAAGAGGCCCCCAGCCACACAAUUCCACCACCACCAAGCAUGAUAAGGUGGUGGUCAUAAGCAUGGUUCUUCUUCACUCAGCUAUUCUCAUGCACCUCCUCCUCCUCCUCCUCCCAUCCGUUGUGCACAUGGUGAUCUGCAGCUUGUCUGUUCCUGCUCACAACAUCAAAGCUUUUGGGUUGGGCAAGAAAAGAAUCUGGUUUCUGAAGUGGAAAACUCCUGCUAUUUGCAUCAUUCAACAUAUUAAUCGACAUCCGAAAUAUUUCAAGCACAGACAAGGAUUGCAAUUCCACCAAGGCAGUUCAGCAUUAAUCAAGAGCAUUUACUUGGUUCUCCAUGAUGAUGCAUGUAGAAGAAGAAACAAACCAACGAGUUCUUAUCCUAUCUUCCUACAUGAUCGAGCAAAUUGUUGUCCUGCAUGCUUGUGUCAGCUUGAAUUACUAGUAGGCACCAUUAAAUCAUGGAUUAGAUAAGCUGAGGGAAAUGCUGAUGAUUACACAAGAAACAGCAGCAAUUCAAGGUUUUCAAAUUCAAAUCAAGUGAUAUGAACCAAAGAAAAGAGAAGAGAAAACAAGCAGAUUGCAGACUUAAUCUUGAAAUCUCUACUUUCCAAUUUGGUCAUGUUUUUCAUGUGAUUGGUUAGAAAAUUUUUUUUUUUGGUAGGGCUGACAGACCACCACAUUCAUUAUAUUUGGAUUUACUUUGAUCCACAGGGAGCUCUUCACUUGUCUGGUUGGUCUUCAGUAUUCCAGGAAACAUUCCAUGUUGAACAAGCUGUUCUUCAUGAAGACAAAACAUCUCCUUUAAAUGAGCUUAAGCUGCACUUCCAGCACAUGAUGUACCAGAUCAUAUCCUCGGUAUGCGUAGCCUGAUGCUCUUCCCCAAACGAUCUCGAAUGUUGUCAUCUCCAGCAGAAAUCAAUAGCAUUUUCAAGUUUUACACAAGAUUUGCAAUAGCAAAGUCAGUGAAGUACUACAAAGCCAGAAAAUAGAGCUAAACUGAAAGCUUGGGCUCAAUACCGAGAAGCCAAGCCAUGAGAUAGAAGACAGAAGACAAGCAAAUCUUUGUUGGAUCACUCUGUUCCAUGGAUAGAUCAUUAAAGUCCAAAAUAAACUAUACUGUACAAGCUGAACAAAACAAGGUUAACACUCUGUAGAAUCUCCAUGAUCAUUGCAAGAAUGUUCUUGUCCAUCAUACAAACAUUCCAUGUAAUUAUCCUAGACACGUGAAACAAAACUAUGGCAUGAUUGCUUCGAGUUGUAAACGGAAAGGCAAAGAAAGCAAUGAGCAGCAGAAAUCAGGAAGCGACCUCGAGCCUCGGCUCGAAGCUGAAGCCAGUGAAGAGCUGCAGGGGAAACCUCUUCGUCACGGGGCUUUUUGUCGACCACCUCCACAGCUUCUGGGUCGUGUCGAAGGUCAGCAGAGCAGGGGAUCCAAAGCUCUGUAUGUAGAUGAGUUCGUCGGCGCCGCUGCUCGCGAAGACGUCGUCGAAUUCGCCGAACCCCUGGAAGAACUUGUGCGGCAUUCGAGCCACCUCCCGCCAUUCCCUCCUCCUCUGAAGCUCCCAGAUGCCGAUGCCCUUGAUGAUGCCCGGUCGGUCCGGCUUCCCGAUACCGCCGACCAUGAUUAGCCUGUCUCUGAGGUUCAUCAGCCUGCCGCAGGUCAGAGAGCAUGGCACAGGGAUCGCCGUCCGCAUUAGGGACGUGCGGGCAGGCCGCGCCGAGAGGUCGUACAUCACCAGGCAAUGGCGCGGCUCGACGUUCCUGAGCACGCCGGUGGAGUAGAUCAAGUAAUACAGGACGCCAUUGCAGAUCACGCACUCGUCUCCGCCCCGCCAGCCCACCAAGACUUCGGCGAAGGGGGUGAGCCACGCUCUGGUCUUCGACUCGUAGACGUGGAUGGAGAAUUGCCACUGGUAAUAGUCCUGAGGCACCUGCUUGCACUUGGCGACGGCGACCGUGUAGCCGUGGGUUCUCCGGUCGACCGACAUGGCGAGCGCGCUGUAAUCGGGGGCCUUCCCCCCGGGGGCGUCGUGCAGCCUCUUCCAGUCCCGCGUGAUCGGGUUGCAGACGAAGACGCGGCUCCUGUUCUCGCCGUCCAUCAAGCAGACCAACCCGCAGGAGGAGGAGGUCGACCAGUUGCUCCUCUCGAUGCAGGGGAAGUCGAAGCCGUACCAUUUCCGGAGGCUCGGGUCGUAGGCGUAGCCGGCGACGGCGUCGUCGCUGCAGGUGAACAUGAAGUACCAUGGCUUCUGGGGCGACAUCUUGGUCCACGAGCACCUCCCGGAAUGCACAGCUUCGUACCACCGCCUGCAGACUGAGCUCGCUCUGACGAUGCUCGCGAUGGGCAAGAAGGACAAGACCUUCUCCAAGAGGUCAUCGGGCAGAACGGCGUCCAAUGAGAUCAACGCAUCUUCAUCUUGGUCAUCGCUGUCUUCGGAGGUCGGCUUAAGGCCCGCAACCUCACUCUGGAAGUAGGCGACAGGGUAAGACUCCUCCCAUGAUGUCUCACCCGCCAUGAGGAAGAUGAGACGGCACACACAACAAGAUCAAGAGGAUGGACCUGCACGAAUGAACCGAGGAAACCGGUGAAGAGAAUAAGAGAGCAGAAGAACCGAGGUUGAGAUCACAAGCACAUGGUAUCGACACCAAAACCAUAAAACGCAAUCAGGAGGAAGCCGAACGCCGGAAAAAGAUUUGCCGAUAGCAUGACAAGCGAAAGGUGGCGUGUAAGCGAAAACCACCAAACUCUGCUCGUCUCAGAGGACUGCGGCAAUUAUUCGAACAAGACAAACUGCAGCCGCAACGAGCCAAAGGCAUUCACAUUAUCAAAUCGUCGAACACCGGUAACACCUCCCCGGAUGUCCAAAAAUCAAACGAAAACAUCUCAAAGGCAAUCGAAAAAACCGAGAAAAAUGUGACCUUUUCUUGCUGUUCGUCUUGAUGAUUAGAAACGGAGCAAGAAAAGCACUUAAAAAUCCAGCCGUCUCUUAAUCUUUCAUUCUUUUCUGCUCUCUCCCCAACCCCCCCUAGAAUCAAGAUAAAGAGUACUUCACAAUCUGCUCUGCCAAACCUGGGCAAGGACAGAACACCAAUGAGCACCACGCUUCACAAGAGAUUAGGACGGAUGGAAGGAGACAAACAUACAAGGAACAGAUGAAACAGGAAGUGGCUGCAGAUGUAACAGCGAGGUGGCCGGCUGUGGUGGGCAGGAUGGUGGGAGGAAGAGGCGUGUAGGGGUGUCUGUAUCAAUGUCCUGUGGCUGUCACCAAACACACAACUAUAUAUAUAUAUACACACACCCACACCUAUUUUGGAUUGAAGCAUAAGCUUGUUUGGACGCAUUCAAGGAAAUGAUGGUUCCUUCACAUCUCAUGUGCUAAGAAUUCCUCCUUGCAACCUCCCACUGCUUGUUUUUAUCAUCUUUUUGGUAGAAAUGAUGUACAGAACAUGAAAGACCACAGGAUUUCCCCUUUUUUUUUUCCCUAUAAGCACAAAGAGUGAUGAGACAUGAGCCUCUUUUUUAUGCCACCAUCACCUACGUAUAUAGAGGGGAGAAGGAUGUCCGGUCCCAAUGUUGGAUUGGGUGCUCUUUUGCCUUCUUUUUCUUUCCAUGGUUGAGGCACCAUGGCCACCCUUUAUUUUACCUCAUGCCACAACAUUGCUGUGUUUGUUCUCAUUAGCUGGUUGUCUUUUGUGGCAUGGUCCAUGAAGGCAUAUGAUCAUGCUCUUUUCUUCAUGUUUUGGCAUGAGUUAUCCUCCUCUUUCCUCAGUGACUAAUAAUAAUUAUAAAUUUUUUUCCUUCUUCAUAUGCAUAUUAUGAAAUGCACAUAUGUGAGAUGUCAAUGAUUCCACUGCUUAUAUGAUGAUAAUAUACGGCUCUUCACACUGUACUCCCAGAAACAUAAUAUGAUGAGUUUGGAUGACUCCUUUUAAUUAUUAAUCUCAGUACAAUGCUACCUAAAUCAGCAAUUAUUGAUCGAGUAGGAGCUGCAGUUGGUGAUCCAAACAACUGUAGGCAGUCGAAAGCUAAGGUGACUCGAGUAGAAAGAAAGAAAGAAAGAAAGCAGUGGAUUUGGAUGUAUCAGUAUGAUUAGAUCUGUCACAUGUUGACAUAAAACCAUUGCUCAACCAUCCAAAUAAAUCACUCAUCAAGAGCAGAUGAUGGUUUAACAUGGAUAUCAGAGUCAGGAUAACCCCACCCUUGUGUGUCAUUUUUAGCACACUCCAUGUAUCAGUAGAAAAGAAAUCCACUUGGCUGGCUAACAGAGUUUUGCUGAAUGUUUGUUUAAACCUCCAUGGUUUCAUAGGCAAAUUGAAGUUGUCAUGUUCAUCGAUAUGCAAUUGUUGUUGUGCGUUUGCAUCACUACUGCCAUUGGAAUCACAUGAUGCUUGGCAAUUGGAGUGUACAACAGAGAUGACAACUCUGCUACCACUGAUUUGAUUUGGUGGUGGAUUAAACAUGCCUUUUAAGUGGCUCUGACCUCCAAAAAGACAUGGACACCGUACGACAGAGAACUUGUGAGUAGUGGAAACACCACUAAGAUUGCACCUGUUGCCUCUCGACUCAUUCUUCAUGUCUCACAGUUAACAAAGUCAUAGGUAUGAGAUAGACUGCAACAUCCAAGUGCACAUCAGACUGCAAUAUCAUUGCAGCAAUGACUUCCAGCAGUCGCAGCAAAAUGUGUUUGUCCAAGCACUUGAAAAGCCAUAAAGAAAGCUAUUUAUAGUGGCACACACUGCACAUGAACAUAAGCAGCUUGUCUCUCAUCCCAAGUAGAGUGGGUGGUUGCAACCAGAAAAGAAUGGCAAGCUCCCCCCCAACAUGGACAAAGUGUACAUCAGAAUGAAGGUCUAAUUGUAGGGGGGAACGAAGGAGAAUCAUAGCAAGGUUGACAAGGUGAGUAAUGUCAAACCCCAUGACUCGAGUGGGAGACCUCAGUCCUCAUCAGUCUCGAUCACGAUCACAAUCACAAUCACAAUCGCAGAUAUGGAUUUGUUUCUGAAAGCGCCUGUGACGAUGUGGCGACCAAAAAGCAAGAACAAACUGAGGUCCAGAAGAACUCGAUGUUGCAUUUCCAUAUCUGCUUCCACUGCAACACCAAAAAGCUUGAGUUGUCAACCAAUUGAAGCCAACACAUCCAUCACCUGCUUCGGAAGAUGGCCAUCCGAUUCUUCUAAUGGGAUUUCGAACUUGGCGUUGGUGGGCACACAAAGCGUCGAUGAUGGAAGACUUCGAGGGGAUUCAGAUCGAGGAAAAUGAAUGGCGGCAUGGGAUGUACUCUUUGAGUUUGCUUCCCCAUGCCACUUUCCGUGGAAGGACGACUUAAAGAAACCUUGGUUACUCCUUCAGAGAAAGGAAACGACGUCGAAUUGCGUGUUGGACUAAGCAUCGGUUCCACUCCGAAAGGGGAAAGGAAGAGCAGGGUUUUCCGUGUGGUGUUCCAUGGAUUGCGAUUCGGCGAGCGAGACAGGGCAUUGUGCGUGGAGGGAGCAAUCGGCAUAGCCGAUGGCAUCUCCCGUCUCGAGCUCUUCUCCCACUUGGUUGCAUAGUUGCUCAGUGGGAGUCAUCUCUUUUAUGGCAAGCGUGUCAUGCUCUUGUGGAUUUGAACGCCGCUCAGAAUAUUAUCCACCGCAAAUCAUGCAAUGAUGUGAAGCAAAUAUCAUCUCCUUCCGUCUCGACACAAACAAUGAUAAGCAUAUGAAUAAUUAAGCUACUCGGGUGGCCGAGCAGUUCAUGGCUUCUACAAAGAUGGGAAGAGGCCAUUCUAAGCUUUUGGAUCUUCGUGUUCUCUUAGGAUCUAUGGUGAAUGCCCACUGAGAACUCAGAAUCAGGUAAUCUUACGACUAGAGCACCUAAAUUUAAUGAGAAUAUAAGUGAGAAAGAUCAUAACAAAAGAAUCCAGAAGAGAAUUCAUGGACAUCAACAGAGAAACAGAGAGGAAAAGAGUAUGUGAUAUGUAGAGCACAACACUUCAUACGGAUUCUCUAUUUAUUUGUUAUUAACAUUGAUACAUAAAAAAGCAUAAUAGAGCCCAAUGUGUUUUACACAAACAUUGUUUUUACUUUCUUAUCAUACACACACAAAAGAGAGUGUGAGGAUGAAUUUAGAAUCUCACCUCCACGGUAGCACGUCUCACGAUGCAACCUUACGGGGAGAGGGCCUUCUUGGUUUGGAGCUCUUCACCUUGCACCUUCUCUUUUGUGACAGUUUUCUCUCCAAGUCCUUAACUCUGCCAUUAAGAUCUGCAAUGACUCCCAGCUGUGCUUGCCCUGCCUUCAGCAGUGUCUCUAGCAUUUCUCUUAGCUUCUCAUUCUCUUCCACUAGUUUUUUCUCCUCCUUGCUUAGAUUUCCAUCGGCUGCAUCAUUGGCAUUUGCUUCAAAUGGUUCAUCUGCAGAGACACGUUCAUCUUUGUUGAUAUUCACAGCAUCGGGCAGUUGCCGUGGACUCAUACUGACGGGCUCAAGAGCUUCUACCAAUGAAUGGACUUUGUCGAUCUUUGGUUCGGAUGUUUCAACUGAAGAGAAGCAUUCAUCUUUGAUGAUAUUUGUGCCAUCAGGCAACAGCAUUGGAUUCACACCAUUUUCCUUGCCAACCUCAAAAUCUCCUGGUGAAUGACACUGGUUGUAAGUUGCAUCUGGAAGGUGGGUCACUAUGCUAUCUGCAUCUUCUGCCCUUUUUUCUAUGUUCCCCACCGUGCAUCCGGCAUUUCCAUUGUCGAUGGCACAAGUGCCAAGGAAGGGUUGUUCAGAGCAUGGAACUUCUGUGACUACAUGAACAACAUCCGUGUUUCCAACCAUCUUCUCAACAAGGUCACAACUUUUUUGGUCGGGCACUUGGAGAUCCUCUCUCAUGGUAUCAACUUCAUCACCUGGCAAAAUAGUUCCCUUGACAUCAAAAUCACCUUCCUUGACCCCAGCAGUGGCUUCUACAAGCUGCACCUGUUCAGGGUUAAUUGCCUUUAAAGAAUGGUUUGAUUCUUCAGCUGCCAGUUCGAUAUCUUCUCCCUUCACCGAUGGCACAGAUGGUUUCUCCAAUUUUACAUCACCCGUCUCGUCAUUUCCAGCUUCAGCAUCGGGUAGCUCAUCUCUCACAUGCUCAACAAGGGAGUUAAUUCCUUGACAUUCAACAUGCUCGUCUGUCUCGAGCUUCCACACCUCAUCUACAGAGGCAGAAGGUGCCUCAACUUGGGGAAUAGAUGCUAAAGUCUCUGUUCCACCUUCCAAUCCAGAGGAUUGUUUUUUCUCAGUAACGCCUUCCGAUACACAGGAUUGUUCUUCCUCUGUAACAUGCGAUUCCACUGCCUCCCUCAGGGCAGAACUAAGUUGUUCUUCCAGAGGAGCUAUAUCUUGAUGUUCUUCAGUAGUAGAACCCAUAUCCACAUUCAAUGAUUUUAAGUCACCGGUUCCAGCUACAGAAUCUGGAGAUUCAGUUAUUACCGCAUCAUCUGUCUGCCAUUUAAUUGCUGCUUCUUCUUUCUCAUCCACAAAUGUUUUCUCUGACUGUGAUGACAUAUGUUCAGGCUCCAAAUUGGUUGUUACAAAAGAGUUUGUAGAAGAGAUAGCUCCACAAUCAGAAUCAAGUUGUUUUUCAACUUCCAUUUUUUCAUGAUCCCCUAGAGAAUCAAGCUUAUCUUGCAGACUGAUUAGCUCCCUGGCGACAUGCUUCCUCAUGUCUCUCACGCUCGGAUGCAACCCCUGUAAGGUUCAUGACAGAUCAACCAAAAUUAAAUACAAAAAGUCAGCACUAACUAAUUUGAAGAUCAAAUAUGGAAAAGAAAACAUGUUCACAGUUUCAAGUCACUCGAAUAAUAAUCCACAUCAUGUGAAUCCUUCAAAAGGAAAUAAAAACAUGCAGAUCAAUGGACAAAUCAAUUUCGGAAGCAACAAAAGAGAUUCUGAAAAAUAUCAAGUCAUUGCAAAUAAAGGCAUUUUUUUAUAUAGAUAAGUGAACACAUACCUGAAUGGUAUCCAGCUGCAACAGAAGAUUCAUUAUGGCCUCACUUAUUGCAACCUUGUGUUUCAAAUCCUGCUCCUUGGAGGAGGCUUCAAACAUCUGAAUUUGCUUCUUCACAGCCUCGGUCUGUUGACGAAUUUGAUGAAUUUUCCUUAGCUUCUCAAGAGGUUGCCAUCUUCUCAUCUCGAAUCCUCUAUAAGCAGAUUGAAUAAGAGUUGCUGCAUCUGAUUGUGACAAAAUUUUCCUUUCCUUCCUUUGUUCAUUAAUUAUGCUUUCUGAGUUCUCCAUACACCUCUUCCCCUCAUCAAGUUCAUGUGUUGCUUUAUCAGUUGGCACUUGCUCAUCCUCCUCAACUUCUUUCCCAUACUUCAAUACCUCUACUGUUUUGACCUCCAUAGCCUCAAGUCCUGUUCCUUUGUCUGGCUGUUGAUUUUCCUCGAUCUUAGCAUAUUCUUCCUUAACAGUAGCUGUCAUCAUCUCCUGACUUUCCGUUUUUGGAUUCUCUGCUUCAUUUGACAAUUUAUCAGCAGCUUCUACUACCCGGACCUCUUUUUUAGAUAUUUCUUCCUUCUUAUCUUUUAAAAUUGGCUGCUCUCUUUCUGUUUUCUCCUUGUGAGCCUUCUCCUGGUCCUUGAAUCCAGGUGGACUAGGCGACCUUGAUGUGCCAUUUGUGGGCUUCUUCCUUGGCAAUGGAUCCACUCUCAAACAUACAGGAGGCAACUUUGAUGUCUUGGUCGGUGGCAAUAGUUUGCUAAUUGAUUUCUUAGCCCCAUUUUCCUCCUGUUUUUCAGGUAUGCUAUGAGAUUUCUCCUCCUCCUUAUCUUUGCGCUUCUCAUCCAUGUUAGGCCUCUUUUGGUUGUCCUCUUCUAUAUGCUUCACAGGAAUGAUCUUAGUUCUGCUUUUUCUUUCAGUCACUGCUUCUCGAUGUCCAAGAGUUUUAUGCCUGUCCUCUUUGUCGCCUGGUGAUAUGUGCUCAUCCCCCAGAAGUUUUAAUGGAAUAAGUUUUAUUUUUGAGGAUGGUGUUUCUUUAACUUCCGGAUUCGAAUUUAUCUCCUUCAAAUCUUUAUCUUCUGAUUUCUGAUCACCAGGCAUCCAGAUUAUUGGCCAGGGGAACUGAUUUCUCCUCUCAUCAUACUGCAGACUCUUUUUCCCAUCUUCAUCUUGCUUCGCACCAUCGAGUCCAUUGAUGUCCAUAGGAAUCCAUCCAUUCCACUGAGGAGAUGAUUCAGAGCUCUUAUUAGUCAUUUUGUUCUUCAAAUAGCUGGGAGGGAUGCAUACUACUGGGUAAGGGUAAUUUGGCUGUUGAAUUAGACUUGAGGAUUCAUUGUCCUGAUCUUUCUCGGUCUUCUGUUCCUCAAUCUUCACAUUAUUGUUACCUCCCUUGUUGCAUGUGUGAUCAGGGCAACCACAACAAUAAGCUCUGGGACGAUCAUAAUCAUAUGGAUUUUGAUCAGCUGAAUAAUGUGAAGGAGGAAUCACAAAAGAAGGGUAAGAACUAUAAUAAGGGGGGUAAGGGGCAUGAUAAUAUGCUUGAGGAGGUGGUGGAGUAUAUGGACACGGAGGCCUAAAAUAAAAGUAGCCAGGAGGAUAGACAUGGCUGCAACAACCAUUAGCUUCCGUUGGACUUGGGUGGGCAACGCUACCAUUGGAAGUCCAUGGUCCAAAGGAUGAGAAAGGUCUCGCUGUGUCUACUCUUGUUUGAGGAGAAACAGCUUCCCAGCUCGGAUAGUGGUGAUAAGGAUAAGGAAUGUGGUCUCUGUUUUGAGGGUACGACUCCAUGUACCGAUAAGGGGGAACCAUUCUUGAGAUCUUGUUAUUGGUUUAACCUAUGAGAAAGGUUCAAAGUUGUACUUGUUCACUUCACAAGUCUUGGAAACUUGAGAGAUCGUAUUACCCGUAAAUAAAUCCUGCAAAAAAUGUACAAUUUUAUUAGGAAAAAAAAAGCAUAGCUCUAUGUGAAAUUACAUCAAAGAAGAAACUAAACAAAGAACACCCAAUAAAAUCUCUUAGUUCCAAAGUUUAACAAGCAAACCUGAAACAAGAAACUACAAGACAUGCUAAUGUGCAGGGAAAAAAAUUGCAAUGGAAAGACAUCAAAAAUUAGAUAAAUGAUAAUUCAUUACUGUGUGUGUAUAUAUAUAUAUAUAUAUAUGCCUUGCAUGCUUGACCAACAAGAAACCAGAACAUCUUACGAUUAUUCCAGGAGUAGACCAUUAGUUAAGGCAGGCGAUAUAUAAACCAUGUCUCACAAAAUAAUCGGCUUUAGAACUUCCGAUAACCAAUUAAAUCAGACAUUCCUUACCAGAUAGCGAGAAUAUGGAUAAUAAGAAAUUCUAACGUUUUGCAGGAGCCAUUUCAGUAUUAGCACUAAUAUUAUCUACAGCCAUAUAUCACUUAAUCAAAUGACUGUUGCUCUUUUAAUAGGGAUUUACGAUGGAGAUAGAAGCAUAUUUUUGUAGCUGCCAAAAAACUAACUUUAGAAUCUACUUCAAGGCAAAUGAAAAAACAAAUAAUAUGAGCUGCUAAACACAAAUUACACAUAUUUUGCUAAACUCUUUUCUUCAUCUCCUAUCCCCUGGUUUCCUUGGAGGACACUUCUAUUCAAGUAAAAGGAAAAGGAAAAUGUUGAUAGCAGCCUAUGUUUGCACCAUGACAGAUAGGAUGAUCUCAAACCCAAUAAUAAGAUGUAGUUCGAUUAUUUCUUUUUAUCUCUUUUCCCCUUGUUUUCCAAACAACUCAAAAGGAAGAGAAAAAAAAAAAGGCGAACAAUUAAAUGAAAGGGACUUACAACAGGAUUUUCUUUUAAUAUCUUUUCCGACCAAAUGAAAGGGGAAAAAACAAAGAUUGCAGCAAAUCGACUAGCUAACAGGAAAAUCUUUGCCACCUUAAUCCUCAAAGAAGAUACAAUGGCCAACUCAACAAACAUACUAAGCUAAAGACUUGGGAAAUCAAUUGGUCCAUGUAGGCAUGAUUCGAACGACUGGAAGUCGAAUGAGUUACUAAAAGUAGAAAAGGUAGUAGUAUAAUUUUCAAACUCCUAAAAUAUGGAUGUCCAGAAUUUGUUGAACCUUUGCCUUGAUGAUAAAGAGAUCCACAAUGUUCGAGAUUAUCAGUCCAGCUAAAUAUUUAAGCUUUUAGGGCAGAUGCAAAAUAACAUGGAAAGCAACAAGAUGACCAUUUUCCUUCAUCGAAGAGACACAGAUCACUUCAUAUUAUCGCUACUAUUGAGGAACAAGUGCGAUGCCUGUACUAUCUUAAACCAUGUGCUAUUGCUGCCAACUAAUGAUUGAAAAGGAGCGGAAACGCAAACAUCUGAGGCAGAUAAUCUCUACUUAAUCCCCGCGAUAGAGCAGCAUCCCCUCUCCUACUUCCGUUGCCGAAUAAAUUUGAUUCAUUUUAAGAACCAAUCCAGCAAUCCAGAUCAAGACGAAUAAAAGUAACUCAAACAUAACCCUACCGCGGUAUCCGUACUACAAAAUCUCCAUAACACAUGAUCAAAUUCGGCAUCAGGGUACCGCAAUAUCACGACAAUCAACCAAGAUUCCAAGCUACAACAGCGAAAUUCUUUGACCAAGAAUCCUACACGAGCAAGGGAAAAGAAAGAGUGACCAGAGGGGGAGAAAGAGAUGAUAUCUAGACGAACCUUCCGGGCGAUCCCACGAACCAAAUGACCCGGCUAUCGACGCGAAACGAUCCGCCAACCCUUUCUUUCCUUUCCCUCUACUGAAACCUCAGUCGCUUGCGGAGAGCUUCUCGAUGUUCCUGUGAGAUAACGCACGCCAUCGUCUUCCCUUUUAAAGGGGCAAUGGCGAGGAACUCAUCGAACGCUCGAGAGGCUUCUUGACGCUGACCGGACGAGCUUCGCCUCGCUUCUCGACCUUUCCCGCUUCCCUUCCGACGGAUGAGCUGUUAUUAUUCUAGAUGGAUCGGAAGGCGGCCCAUUUUGUAGCAGACGGGCCUUCAACUGGAUUUCCACGUUACAAACCAUGCUUCAUGAGCAUGACUGUGUUUACAUAUAAUAAACAAAUAUCAUUCAUAUUUUAAUCAACCUAUUCAUACGCAUGCACAUAAGACUGUGAGAUGAUUCCAAAGUAAAAAUGUGUAUAUGAGAUAGCUCCGAGAUGGAUCUGAGAUGACUCCGAGGUGAAAAUAUUAUACUCCCGAUGUGUUUUUUAUAUAAAGAUUAGGGUCAGAUGGGGUUUCUUGACUCAUGACUCUCAAGUUAGUAAUUUGAGAUCUCAAAUAUAAGUUAAAGUAGUUCUUUUUAAAGAUAUUUUUAUUCUUGUUUAUGAUAUAUUUUUAAACAUUCGAAUAAGGGUAUUUUCUCAUAAAGGAGGAUAAGAGGGUUUAGAAUUAUUCUCCUUGUUAUAAAGAAAAAUAAAGGAGUCUGUGUUUCUCUUUCUUAUCAUAAUAAACAAGAAGAAAGUUCAUAUUUUUCUAUUAUGAUUCUUUAUACACGUAGACAAACGUAGGAUGACAUAAGUGAUGGUUGCAUUAUAACUAUCGGUAAAUUUCCUAUGAAAAUGCUAGCAGAGAAUGAAGUCACGUAUUGAUCUUGUUAGACAAUUCUAUGAAGCAAUGGACAACUUCUUGCACAGAUGUUCCAAUGAAUUAACCCAAUUUCGGAAUAUUGACUCUCUAACCAAUUAAGAAAUGAGUCACAUUGUAUGUGAACCAAUGCAAAAUAAGUGUCCAAGAAACUCCAUUGCUUGUUUUUUCUUUGAUGCAGUCAGUAGAAAACCAUAGUCAAUGUGCACUUGCAAGGGAUCCUUAAUUGCUCACAUCACAUGUUAUUGGCAAACUAGUAUUGAAUUCCAACUAGUAGUAUGCUUUCAUCAUCUCGUGAUUCUUUCCUUGUUUUCUUGCCAUGAUGGAUUACCUAAAUCACCCUGCUUUAUUAAAGGACAGGUGAGGACUCGCUGGACUUACUCUCACUGGGACCAACGAAUCUUUGCUCAAGAUUCAUCAGAUCCAUACCAACUCUCCUUUUCAUUUUGGGGGUUCCCAAGAAAAAGGCCAUGGCCUGCAUCAGUCAGCUCCAAUUCUUUCAAAGUACAUGAUAAUAAUGAAAGAAUAAUAUCAGGACAAUUAUCUAUCCACGCAGCAGAUUGAUAGAUCAAAGCAUCCUUUGCACAGCAGAGAAUACGAUAAAGAAGAGAGACUAGAUUAAAAAGACUUCCAGAGCCUGCAGUGAAGAUGAGCUAAUUAAGCUUCUUCCAUCUGUAGAUGCUAAAUUUCAAUUUUGGAAGGCUCUCAUCUUGAUCUUUCUUUAAUUUUAUGCAUACAACUUUCUGGCAGUCAAAACACAGGAGAAGGGGAGGAUGUGAAGUGUGAAUGGAUUCCAUGCAUGUGUGUUUCUGAUGUGGAAGAAAAGGAAGUCGGAUUAAUCCAAAGGUCAAUUCUGAAUCUGAAUCACUCUUUUCACUAAACAAUAAACUUGGUUGUUGGAUGUUCCUUGCCUGCACUUCUUUUCUUCAUCUGUGGAUUUUAGUGAAGUGAAUUGCCACACACUUGGUGAACAGGUUCAUACUCAGUUGUUUGUCAGGAUCAAUUAGGUAAUGGCAAGAUGCAUUUUAUAAUGAUUGCAUCUUGCAUAUUAGAUCAUGAUUAGGUGGGGGACAAAGUAGGGAGAACAGUACUCAUCAUUAAUCUAAUUAUACAUGAGGAAGUCAUAGGUUCUUUCCUGUUACUAACAAAAGAUCAUAGCUAAAGGAUUGUUUCUUGGAGAACACUCAGGAUUUAGCAAGAGCAAUGACAUCAGAACAGAGCUCUGUCACAGGCAGCACAUAAAAAAACUAGCUUGGACUUUUGGGGCAAUGAAGAACAAGCUUGCAGGAGACCAAACAAAAUAGUUGACUAGCUGUGCAAUUCAUCAAUUAAUGUCAGUGAAUUCCACCAAAAUAACAUGAUCCAGAAACUUAUUUUAUCUCCUGAUUCUGCACACAUGUUUCACCAAGAAAUUUCAUCUUCAGUCUACCACUGGUCUACUAUUCAAGUCCUCUGUAGACACCAUGAAUUUUCUUUUAUUUGCAUCUUUUAAGGGUCAUGCAACCAAGAAAACGAGUGAACCAUUGACAAACAACAGUCAUUUGGUAAGCGCAGAUGCAUUACCUAAUCUGAACCUUUAUUUGAUCUGAAGAUUUGUUUGUAGUCAAGUAUUGUAGAUUUGUUGUGUGUUGUGAUGCUACUGACACUUCACAAGUUUAAACAUUAGAGAUGGAUGCUUAUCUACUCAAGCACAAGAUAACAUGAAGAGGACUGAAACUUGGAUAUCUAAAUUCCAGAUUAGAUAAGCACCUAAAGCAUGAAGAGGAUGUGAUUAUUGUUUAUUUGGAAAGGUUUUUCCUUCAUGUAACAGAAGACUGAUGCAUCAUCAAAAUUUUUCUUCACCAAAAACAAAUAUGCACAUAAAACUCUGAUUUGCAUAAACCAAUAAAGGCCACAUCUGCUCUGAAAUGGCUGAACUGGUUAGAAUUAUUAUUUCUUUUAAGAAGAUCUGCUGAGCAGAGUGAGUGCUGUGUGCCAAUGCCCACCGCCGAAUUAGAAUCUAAUUCCCUGCACUGCCCACUUGAUAAUGGCCCAAACUUUUGUUCAUCUUCAUGCCAUUAUUCUCUUCAUUCUGUCUCUAACACAGUUGGGGAGAUGGCUGAAUCCACACUAGUGGAGAUGAGGCAGAGAACAUACAGUACAAUUCCCUGAAAUCUGAUGGGAACCAAAAAAGAAAUCUGCAGGAGUGUUCCAACUUUACAGCUCUCAUUGCUUGCUGGUUUCAACCUUUAUGAAUGGAGAUCCUCGUCAACACUAGAGAGAGAUAAACAAAAGGUCACUUAACCCCACUUCUUCCCAGAAAAAUAGUGAGAGAUGCUUGAAUCACUCACAACAAGUACCUGAGUCAGACCAACAACAAAAGUAGUAAACAAUGGAAGAAAGAAAAACUUGAUGGUAAUAAGAUUAUGAUCUCAAUAGAAUAGAAUAGAGGAAAAGAUAUUGUAGCAAGUUGCGAGAGCAGUGAGUCAUGAAAUAGUGGACAGAAGAAUCUCCCAAGGAAUCCAUAAACGGUGGGUGGUAGAUACGGUGGAAUCCACCAUCCCACAGCCCAAUUAUCGUUUCUUCAUCAACAGUAAAUUGAGUUUAUAUUGGACUUUUCAUUUUAAUUUAUUGAUAUCAACCCAUCGUUACCUCCAGCAAAAAGCUCUCGUCGCGUCAUUAUUACCAAUCACCAUGCGAGUAAUUUUGGGUACAGUCAAGAAGGAGUAGGAAAAAUUUAAAAUGGGUCCCGCCGCGUCCGUUGAAUCUGACACAGGGAAAUGACCUUAUCGUGCGCCGCCCUCCUUAUCGUGCUCCAGCAGACGGCUAUAUAUAAAUAAUAAAAUAUGCACCAAGUUAAUGCUUGUUUUAUGAAGAGGUAAUUACAAACCACCAAAAAGAACAAGAGAUAAUUAUGACGUCAUAAAGAAAAGCUGGAGUAUUUUUAUCAUACUGCACCUGCAGGGAAAUAUAUGCAAAUGCAAACCUCAACUUUGACGAAUAUGUUCGGUAAUACAAAUAUUCUUAGGGGUAUAAAUGCGAAACAAAAAUCGGCCCUUUAACCCAAUCCGCGUCGCGUCUUCGAUUCUCUUCGGUGUGUGGUUUGUGGUUUCCGCUGUCGUCCGCAAGACCGAGAGAGAAGCUGGCGGAGAAAGGGGACAGGGAAAAGAAAGCAAACGAAACGAAGAAAACCCUAGCUUCUACCGCUUUGCUUGGGAUCUCAGGCCCCUGGGGAUCUUCGAUUCCUUGUUCUUUGGUAUCCUCGAUUCGAUGUUGGGUGCCUUUCCAUUUCAUUUUGUCGCUUAAUGUUUGUGCCUCGGACUUCUGGUUAUUUAUAGCCGAGUCCUAGAUCUUUGUUUUCUUCCUUUCCGUUUCGCACUCGGUUCUGAGAAAUUUGGUGUUUUGAUGUAAUUUUCUCGUUCCAUGCCUCUGAUGGAUGUGGACUUUGUGCUAUAUCGGUGAUACUGUUGGUCGGAAGGCUUCGAUUCUAUAGAGAAGACAAUUGUUUAUUAGUUUUGUGGUUAUUUGUUCUUGCGUUUUUAUUGGGGUUUUGGAUUUAGAAGUUCUGUUCAUUGUUGGACGUUGUGGAUUUUUCUCCGUGUAUUUCCGUGCCCGGUAAGUGAAGGGAAGUAGUGAUAUACCGAGAUCUUCUUAAAGUUGGUAUCACUAAAUCUGAAUGUUAUCCAGAUGAGUUUGUAGAUCUUGUUAGAUUAUUAGCUGUUAGUUAUAUUGUGUUAUGGUGAACAAGCUUGAAGUAUUAGACUUGUUUUGCUUAUUUUUCUUACUUUUAUCUGCCUCAGAUAGAUUCUCCCGUCGUCGCCUGUCUGUAUUCCCUCGAGGUCUGGGUUUAUCUGUUGCUUAUCAUUUCCUCAAGUCUUCGAGGUUCGUUUACUUUCUCAAGCUGAUUGCAACUUGAGAGGUUGCUAGUUUUUAAUCAAGAUCCAUGCAUGCUUAAUCUUGUCGGUUUGACUUUUAUGUUGUUGUUUAGACUUUGUUACUAUGAGAUCCUCUUCUGGCUGAUUCAUAGUUAUCUUGAAUUUGUUUAGCAUAUAUGUAUCAGGUUCUUUAUCUUUGAUUAAGUAUGUUUCAAGUAUUUGAGCAGCUUUAAUUUAGUAUCUACUUGUUGAUUUUAUUAAGAAACCUUUUUCUUUAUUUUUUGUGCAUAUUGUGAGUAUUCGAUUAUAUAAAUUAAAUUUCUUAAAGGAUUUAUCUUACCAUAAUGUUUUUAAUGAUCUCAGUGAUAUAUUAUCUUGUCAUUGUAGAACAUGUGAUCAUUUUCAUUGUACUUCUAGCAUCUCCCAAUUGGAAAGCAAGUUUCGUGUGUUUAGAUUGUGUGUUUGAAUUGUUAUUUUGUUUGAUUUUAUCCAAUUGUAUUGAUUGGUUUAAAUCCGGUUAGUUAGCUUGGGUUGGUACGAGUUUACUUUGGACAGUUCAGAUCUUUGAGCAAGAUUUUCUUUUUUUUAAGAGUUUGACAUGAGAUCAAACUCAAGCUAUUCAGGAAACGUUGGUUUCUUAGGUUAGAAUUUUAUUUUUUUAUUUAUUUGCUAAUAUCAUGUCGUAAACACAUAAGGACUGCCCAAACCUGCUUCUUCAUUACUGUCAAAUGGCAGUUUGUUUGUGUUUUGUUCCAUUCAUCUUUUUUUCCUUAUAUUUGUCAAAUAGCAGCUUUCUUAUUUACAUAGCCCAAUAUUCCAGUAAAAGCAACUCAGCAGCCUGCAGAGUUGAAGAACUUGCAGUUUUCAACAAUCCAAGUCUAGCAUAGUUUAAGGAAGUAACACAAAGAGGAAUAUAUGAUUAAAAAGGAGAAAGGAACAGGACGGAGAGAUGGAAGAAUGACAAGAUUCUCUUAGAAGCAUUGAGAAUGUAAAGAGGAUAGGCUUAGUCAGUAACAAGUUCAAGGCAUUAUGCAUGGGAAUGUAUCACAGAGACUACUGUAAAGCUGAAGAAUGGGAAGUCUCUCUAGGACUUUCAUAAUUUCUGUCUGUGUUAAAUUUACAACAUUAUUAUAGAGAAAUAAGAAUGUGACCAACUUUUUUAGAAGCCAAUAUAUUAUUCUACAAGAGAACUGUAUUACCCUAAAGAACAGGAGACAAAGAGAAUCAAACCAUAUAUACUUUGUAGUGUCAAUAGGUUAACAAUUAGAAUAGACUUAAAUAAACCCAUAUAAUGUGGAUAGGCUUACUUUUUAAUAGGUGCUUCUACAUGGACCAUAUAAUUCUUGUUAAGGAUAGUUGCCGUCUGCUUUGAUGUGGCAAAGGACUGUUGUCUCACUGUCUCAGAAAAUUCCUUUGCUAUACUGCAGAUUAAGGAAGCACUGUUGCCUUAUGCAGUGGUUGCCUUAGGAAACAUGGAAAUUUGAAUUGUUUGUUUUAUUUGGGUACAAAUGAAACAUAAUACUUGUAAGAUUCUUCUGGAUACAUAUCGAACAUUUCUUUAAAAUGUGUGAUAUUUGAACAAUUAGUGAAGCCUUUUGACUCUGUUCGUUGUAGAUACCUUGAGAGACCUUUGUUUGCAUGAAUUAAUUAUAUACAAGUUGCAUAUUUCAUUAGAUCUGUUCUUUUGUGGCAUUUAGCAUUAGAUUGUGAUUAAUGAAGCUAACACAAUGGCAUUUAUUUCUAGUAAGAUUUUGCCAAUUUUAUCUACGAUGACAAGAAUCUGCACUUAUGUCCCAAUGACUUGGGGUCAUCUACAUUCGUGAAAUACUAUGUUAAUGAAAUUAUUUUCUUCAUAAUGAAUAGCUUAGGGAUGCUAGUUAAUUAUUGGUUAUUAUUUAGUAGGCUGUGUAACUCGAUAUUCUGACCCUAUUAAGAAAAUCUCGAGCUUUGACAUUUUUAUAUUUUUUAAAUAUUUCAUAUGAUGUUUGUGCCUUAUCAUCACCUACUAUUCAAGAUUUGGCAUAUUGGUGUAUUGUGUUGUGCCAUUUUGGUUUCCCUUCCUAUAUUUCUGCUUCAUAAGGCUUGUCUUUCCUGUCGACAGGAAAGAGUAUAAUGGACUUGCUUCUAUAAGAAUACAAGACCACCAGAAUAAUCAAGUUAUUUGUUAGACGAUCACAUAACUGAAUUGAUUCUCGGUAGUAUAAAUGAUAGAAAAGAAGAAAGAAAAAAGGGACACAUGGAGAAGAUAGAGAAAGAAAGGAUUGAAAUAAAAGCCUGUGUGAUUUGACAACCACAUGACACAAAUUUGAUUAGUUAGUUUAGUUAAUCUAAACCAGCACAAACUGUGGGAGGAAAAACUACUAACUUCCUGAUAUAGUACAAAUUGAAUGCCCUGUAUCUACUCUCUAAUAUAUGAUGGUUGUCUGAAAUUUUGGUAAGAUAAUGAAACUUCCUUCCUUUUUUCCUCUGCGUUUCAAUUUAACCUGUCUUUAAGCAAAAGGUUACAUGAUGUAAGAAAUUAUCAAAACAUAUGGUCAGAGAGAUUUAUUUGAAGUAGGUGUUCCAAUUUAAUUUUGUACACAGACAUGCAUAGUUAUGUAGCUAUAUGUAGCUCCCAGUAACCAAUCAGAAACAUUUUGGUCCUGUAAUCCUGCCUUUUAUAGAGUCUGAUGCACAUCACACUAGGCACUUAGCUUGUAUUCCCUUUUGACCAGUCCUUUGGUGCCUUCUUGGAUUUAAAAUUUGAUCUAGCACUUAAAUAGCUGUUACAUUUAUGUAUACAUCAGGUGUAGCUGGGAUACGUGGCAUUAUAAAAAUUUCUUGAUGAGUUGCUGAUUGAUUCUUUGAUUCCACUUUGUUUGCUAUGGUUGUCACUUUUUUAAAUCUCUUGCAUCUCUUCAACCUAAGAUAGCAGAUAGAAAGACGUGAUAUUACUUCAUUUUAUGUGUCACUUUAUUAUAGUAGAUAGAAAUUUGCUGAUGUACACGCACUCUUUCUUUAAGCUCUUGCAUCAGCUACCAAUUUAAACUAGCAAGUAUGGUGUUCAACCUUGUAAACUACUACAUAAUGAAUCUUUAGUUUUUUGUGGUUCUUACUAUGUAACUUCCAAUUUGAAGAAGCACUUUUUCCCUGAGAUGGAAUGUUUAUGCACUUGUUAAGUUUUUGGAAUCAGCUUUGCUGGAUGUUUUUUUUAGGAUAUUUGACUUCCUGGUCUAUUAUCCUUUCGUAGGGGUAUUUUCUUUUCUUCUUUUUGUGCUUUUUCUUGGGAAUUAAUGAGAUUUGCUGGUGAAUUUUUCUGUCGUAUAUUUACUCUUGUAGCUGGUUUUGUGCAGAAGCUAAUUAGAUGAUUCCCCUAAUUUUAGCGAGUCAUGUUCUAAUUAGUUUGUUCGACAGGAAAAUUUGACUGCUUUGAUCAUCCUUGAUGGUACCAGUUUUCUGAAUAUCAGGAUCUGAUGCCAAGCUUCAGCGACUGCUAAGUACAUAAACAACUAGUCAAUUUUUUUAGUAGAUGGAUCGUCGUGAUACAUCAGGAUUUGUUAGCGGAGGUUGCAAUGACUCAGAAACCAUGAACACUUGUUUUGAUUCUUAAACAUAAUCAGCCCCGGAAGUCAGGCAACUUGUUUUUUCCUGUCAAGAUUUUGUUGAGAUUGUGAUCUUUUCUGCCAAUAGCUGUUAUGGAUGAUAGGCUUGGGCUUUUUGGAUAUAGUUUGAAUGUCCCAUCCAGAAAUGCUUUUAGGAUUUUGGCUCAAAAUCAGACUGAUACCACAUUGCGGAUUGGCUCUCCUGGUUCAGCCUGUCUGGAUUUUCUAAAUUCAAAAGGGAUAAAGAGGAAGUGGUGUGAUUUUGAUGGAAGUGGUAUGGGAAAGGCUUCCUUAGCCCUAGAUUUAGGCCGACCAUCAAGUUCUUCAGAUAGCAGCAAGAAGAGCUCUGCAACAGCUUGCACCAUGUCUUCAGUCAAGGAAACCGACGACGGGUCCUCCAUGGAUCUUGGAUUAAAUUUUGAUCUUUACCUUGGUAGUGAAAAUACAGACAGCACAAAGAAACCUGCUCUUGCUGUUUCAAAGAUGAUGAAUAUUGAGCCUAACUUUGACGUUCAGUUAAGUUUAUCCAUAGGCCCAUCUGAAUCAGUUAUUACUGGUGUAACUCCAGUCUCAGUUCAUCAUGAUUAUAUCUUGGACAACCCAAUAACUGCUAGUCAGAUGUCAGCACUUGAUGAAGGAUCUACAUCAUCUCGUUGGAAGAAUGGGAAUAAAUUAUUGCCAUAUAUAAAUAGCAUUGAUAAAACUAGUAGUUUUUUCCCUGAUGGAAUGAAUUAUGCCAAAUUUUGUCUUGAACAGCAAGAUUGCUCUUCUUCAACCAUGACUCAAAUGCUGAAAAAUUCAGUUGCCGCUUCCGGGGUUACUCAAACACAACAACGCAAUAGUAACAUAAAAAAUUGUCAGUUUCCAGGAUGUGCAAAAGGAGCCAGGGGUGCUUCUGGGCUAUGCAUAGCCCAUGGUGGUGGUCGGAGGUGCCAGAAAGAUGGCUGUCACAAAGGAGCUGAGGGCAGAACCAUCUUUUGCAAAGCCCAUGGGGGUGGCAAGCGAUGCCAGUACCUUGGCUGCACCAAGAGUGCUGAAGGCCGCACCGACUGCUGCAUUGCUCAUGGUGGUGGCCGUAGAUGCAGCCACGAAGGCUGCACUAAAGCAUCAAGAGGAAAAUCUGGUCUUUGUAUAAGACAUGGUGGUGGCAAGAGAUGCCAAAGAGAGAAUUGCACCAAGAGUGCAGAAGGUCAUUCUGGCUUAUGCAUCGCCCAUGGGGGUGGACGGCGUUGCAAAUAUCCUGAAUGUACGAAGGGUGCACAGGGCAGCACAAAUUUCUGCAAGGCACAUGGUGGAGGUAAGAGGUGCACAUACUUGGGUUGCACGAAAGGGGCUGAAGGAUGCACACCCUUCUGCAAAGCACAUGGUGGAGGGAAGCGCUGUGCAUUUCAAGGUGGUUGUACAAAGAGCGUGCAUGGUGGUACCCAGUUCUGUGUAGCUCACGGUGGUGGGAAAAGGUGUGCUGUGCCGAAUUGCACCAAAAGUGCCAGAGGAAAGACAGAUUUCUGUGUACGUCAUGGUGGUGGUAAGAGAUGCAAGACUGAGGGUUGUGGAAAGAGCGCUCAGGGUAGCACUGAUUUCUGCAAGGCACAUGGGGGAGGUAACCGCUGUACGUGGGGCCAACCUGGGUCCAACAUUGGUACUGAUGGCGCCCCUUGUGACCGAUUUGCUAGGGGGAAGCUCGGCCUCUGUGCUGCACACACUGCACUGGUGGAAGAUCACUGUGUCCAUGGUGGGCAUCAACUGGUCACUGUGAAUUCCGAGCAUCAGAUACCCAGCAAACCUGAGAAGAU